rnacentral:lncRNA from 1 species
UGAUCUCCGACGACGGCGCGCCAUUGUCGCCUUCUUCUUCUUCUGCAUUGCUGAGUGUCAACUGUAAGUACCGAUCCACCGUCGUCGUCGACAUGCCAGUUGUGGCUCCAUUGUUACCUUGGAGGAAUAAAACCAACGAACCUGGAGAUCUCACCCGCCAUUGUGAAUUGUGAGGCACCUGUAAAUAUAUGUUGGGAGCUUAAUUAGGGUGGUAAGGGAGUCAGUAGCGUGCAUCCAGGGGGCUUUGAGGCUCAUUAUGAGAUGAGAUGAGAUAUGUUGUUCCCCUGUUUAAGUUUUGUCUGUAAAAGAAACCAUUCUCUGGUUAUUGUGUUAUUGUAUCAGUGUAACUUGAGUUGUCUCAUGUGAUGAGCCAUCGCCUCGUUGAUCACUGAUAUGAUGAGAUGUGUUCUUCCCCCCGUUUAAGUCUUGUUGUAUUUGAUCAUUUGUUUAAUUGCCAUGUUUAAGUCUUGUUAUAUCUAUCAUCCUCUACUUGGAAUACACCAAGAAACUAUUUCCGCCUCAAAAUAAGUGUUGUGGUUUUAGUACAAUAGUGUGGUUUUAGUACGAUAGUGUUGUAUAAAAAAACAAGCAAGUGAAAUUAACGGAAACUAUAAUGUGUUGGAUAAUCAGCAACUGGUGUUCACUGAGGACCAAAGGCCAUUACGUAUACAUGUGUGGUUAAGUGUAGAAAGCCCCUUAUAUAAUGGGAUGUACAGAAAAGGGACUAUACAUAUCUAACACCCCCGUCAAACUCAUGGUGGAUCAACAACACUGGAUUUGGAGAGAAUAAAAUCAUGUUGCGCUCAAGUCUGUGCCUUCAUGUAGGAGUCUGCCAACUGUAACUCAGAGGGCACAUAGUGAAGAGCAAGAGUCUGAUCCUGCACAACAUCACGCAUAAAAUGGGCAUCCGCACCGAUGUGCUUGGUGAGCUCAUGCUUCACCGGGUCACAUGUAAUACUGAAAGCACCGGUACUGUCAGACAAUAAGGGAGUCGAGGUAGUAGCAGACACCCCAAAAUCCUCAAGUAACCACCGUAACCAGAUCACCAAAGCCGUUAACAUAGCCAUGACUCGCAACUCGGCCUCUAUACUAGAGCGAGAAACUGCAGUCUGUUUCUUUGUCUUUCAGGCAAUGAGAGAGCCACCAAAAAAGACACAGUAAGCAGAUAGCGAGCUCGAUCAGAGGGAUCACUAGCCCAGGUAGCAUCAGAGUAGGCCUGGAGCUCAAGGGAGCUGGAGCGGGGAAAGAAAAGGCGUUGAGGGAUCGUGCCAUGAAGAUAUCGUAGAACACGGAGGAGAUGACUAUAGUGGACAGAGGUGGGGGCUGAGACAAACUGACUCGGGAUGUGAACAUGAUAGGAGAUGUCAGGACGUGUAACAGUAAGAUAGACAAGGCUGCCAACGAGGUGACGAUAGCGAGUGGGAUUAGGAAGAGGGUCACCAUCAGAGGCACGAAGCUGAACGUUGAGCUCCAUAGGAGUCACAAUUGUGAGCUCAUCACCGAGAGCAGCGCGAGCAGGAAGAUCCGGAAUAUAUUUUUCUUGGGAGAUGUAGAAGCCAUCAGAGGUCGAGGAGAUCUCAAUCCCAAGAAAAUAGCGAAGUGGACCAAGAUUAGUCAUGAGGAACUGGUCACGAAGGCGGCCUUAACAAAGGCAAUGUAGUCAGAGUCGUCACCAGUGAUGAUCAUGUCAUCAACAUAGAGAAGGAGAAGAGUUUGACCACGAGGAGACAUGUGAACAAAUAACGCGGGAUCAUGAUCACUGGGCAAGAAACCAGCGGCAGUUACCAUAGAGGUGAAGCGCUCAAAUCAGGCGCGAGGGGCCUGUUUAAGACCAUAGAGGGAGCGGCGAAGUCUACAGACCAUACCAUCAGGGGCAUAGUACCCCGGUGGUGGCUGCAUAUAAACCUCCUCACGCAACUCGCCAUUAAAAAAGGCGUUCUGGACAUCAAGUUGAGAGAUAGAUCAAUGACGAACAGAAACCACAACAAGGAGAGUGCGAACAAUGGUCAUGUGGGUCACAGGAGCGAAUGUCUCAUCAUAAUCGCGUCCUUGCUCCUGCUGAAAACCACGAGCCACAAGACGAGCUUUGUAGCGCUCAAGAGAACCAUCGGAGCGAGUCUUAAUCUUGUAGACCCACUUGCAGGUGAUGGGACGAACACCGGAAGGGAGAGAAGCCAAAUCCCAUGUGCCAGAGCGCUCAAGGGCAGCAAGCUCUUCGGGCAUCGCAAGCGGCCAUUUAGGCUGAGUCAUGGCAGUUGUAAGGGCAUAUUUAUCCCCAAGGUGUUUUGGUGAUUGAUGACAAUGCUUUUGUGGACUAAUCAUGUGCGUUGAGAUUUUCAGAGAUUCAUCCUUUGGCACGAGACGAUUCCCUCCCCUUGGUGUUUUAUUCAAGACGGUGCAGCUCCUUCGUUUCUCUGUUGGGGGACUAGUUUCGUAGGAGUCACCGUACUAUCAGGGGGGAUCCGCUUUGAUAAGGCUAGGGUGGAAUCAACACGUACACAUCCUUAUCGCACCUGCUGAUCCUUCCCGCUUCAAUGGAGUUUUCCUUCCCUUCCUGGCUUGCCCUGUUUGGUCCCAGCGGUAGUACCGCGGGCCACAGCGGUAGUACCGCCGAAGCACAACAAGCGGUAGUACCGCUUCUCAGCGAUAGUACCGCUUGAUGUCUUCCGCCGUAGUAUCGAUGUGGCUCCGGGCUACUACCGCCUCGACUCGAGGCCUCGUUUUCUCGUGUCGGGUUCUGCGGCACUAGCUGGGGCAGUAGUGGCGGUAGUAUCGCUCUCGAGCGGUAGUACCGCCCUUACCACCGCGGUAGUACCGCUCUGGGUCCAGGACCUUGCUCCCCUCACGUGCACGGCAGUACCGCUAGGUGGCACGGUAGUACCGCUGGCUCAGCGGUAGUACCGCCCACCCAAGCGGUAGUACCGCUCUCCGCGGGGCUGCUUGGGGGGCCAGUGAUCUCGGCGGCGCGCCAUUGUCGCCGCCUUCUUCUGCAUUGUUGAGUGUCAACUAUAAGUACCAAUCCACCGUCGUCGUCGACAUGCCAGUUGUGGCUUCAUUGUUACCUUGGAGGAAUAAAACCAACGAACCUGAAGAUCUCACCCGCCAUUGUGAAUUGUGAGGCACCUGUAAAUACAAGUUGGGAGCUUAAUUAGGGUGGUAAGGGAGUCAGUAGCGUGCAUCCAGGGGGCUUUGAGGCUCAUUAUGAGAUGAUGAGAUGUGUUGUUCCCCCUGUUUAAAUUUUGUCUGUAAAAGAAACCAUUCUCUGGUUAUUGUGUUAUUGAGUUGUCUCAUGUGAUGAGCCACCGCCUCGUUGAUCACUGAUAAGAUGAGAUGUGUUCCUCCCCCCUGUUUAAGUCUUGUUAUUUUUUAUCAUUUGUUUAAUUGAUAUGUUUAAGCCUUGUUAUCUACUAUCAUCCUCUACUUGGAAUACAACAAGAAACUACUCCCUCUGCCUUAAAAAUAAGUGUUGUGGUUUUAGUACAAUAAUGCUGUAUGAAAAAAACAAGUAAGUAAAAUUAACGUGAACUAUAAUGCAGUAUAAAAAACAAGCAAGUAAAAUUAAGGGAAACUAUAAUGCAGUAUUCAAACAAAAAGCAAGCACAAAUAAAAUUACGGAAACUACUCCCUUAAUUUUGGCAAGUAUAAUGUAGUAUCAAACAAAACAAGCAAGUAAAAUUAAUGGAAACUAUAGUGCAGUAUCAAACAAAACAAGCAGGUAAAUUCAACAAAAAUCAGAGUGAUGGACGUGGCCAUGAUUUGACAUGAGUGCUAAACAAAUUUGUUCAAUCACAAACAUUGCAUAUUUGCCAACAAUUUUCGUGCGUAGUUUUCAAAACUAGCCUGGACAAAAAAGUUGAAACUAGUGUGGACAAAAAGGACGGCUAUUCCAAGUCCGAAGGAAAAGAAGCUUCAAGAUAACUUUAAGAUGCAUCCGCACGUGCAUUUAGGUUGUCGUCGACAAUGACGGCGCAGGGAAGAAGACGGCGGUACCUGGUCAACUGGACAUAAAAAAAUAGUAGUGUGACAAUUAUGAGAUUUGCUUUUUGAAAGAAUGCAAGGGUUUUAUUGGGGCGCGCAUGCGCGGCGAACUUUUCCCGGAGUAGCGUGGCAAGCGGCCGGGGUGGAUGUGGCAGCUUUUACUGCGUUUAGGGCAGGGGAUGGGGCAUGCGAGGCAGCUUUUACAAAUUAUCAUGAUAAUAUAGUUUCUUUCUUUCAGGUAUUUUUUGGUUUUGUGUGCAAAAACGACCAUCCAACGGAUGAAGUUUCAUCCGAUUCAUAUGUGGUUCUUUGGAAUUUGUUCCUCAGAUAGACAUACACAAAGGAAUCGGAAGUUACUCAGGCCUCCUUCAAUUUGAAGGAUUUUCACAGAAAAAAUAUAGGAAUAAGGAUUUCGGUGAAAAAAUUUCUAUAAAUGCAUUUGGUUUGUAAAAAGGGCAUACAAGAAUAUCGUAAGAAUACCACUCAUUUUCUGUGUUUUUCUUCAGAAAACUAGACAUCCACUCAAAACUUAUUUUACGUGUAGGAACGAAGCAAGUCAAUUUCUGUUGCCAUCCUAAUUCUUACGUUUUUAGUUUACUCCAAAGCGAAUGAGCCCUCAAACAUAACCGCGAAGGAAUUGGAGCGUGCGGAGGAUGAGACGAGGAGGCCAUUCCAUGUUCUCAUCCUGGCCCCAUCGGGCGGCCGAUCGAUCCGUGUCCGGAGCGGUGCAACCAGGACGAGGAAGGAGUCAACCAACUGAGCUAGCUAGCCAGGGUCGGCUUGCAGGCUUGAUUGCCGAUUAAGGCAGGCAGCUAUAGCCAGCCUGGGUCAACCAUACCAUAUAGCUUGGCGUCAUCAUUGACGGACGGAAGAAGAAGAGCACGAGGGAAAAGGAUCAGAUGGGAUGUGCGCGACGCAACCACCGAGACCGAACCACCGCCGGUCGAUGGGAAGAAAAAGGAAAGGCGGUGCGCCACUCCACGUCUCCACCACCCUAAACCUGCUCAACCCCAACGAAGAUGCACGCAAGGAAGGAAAGCAUAUCGCUCGUCAGCUUGGGCGUCAGCGGGAGCGGCGCGCGCACGUAGAGCAGGCAACGGCAGCCGCGAUUAAACAACACUGACUAUAAUUUGACUAUUCCGGCCAACGUUGACGGCGGCGAGCGGAGCGGAUUCGGCCGUCCCCGUCGUCCAGGCAUCGAUCGUCGUCUGGCGGACGCAGCGCGUGUCGCGGGUGACGCGCGCGAGCCAAGGAGACGAGCAGAGGCGGAGGGACACGUAGAGCGGGCGGAGUCGGCCCGCGUGUUUUAUGCGACACGUUCGACACGACACGACACGACACGUUAUGCGACACGUUGUGAUCGAUCCGCCUGCUUGUGCUUAGCUGCCUGCUUGUGGUAGUAAUUCGUUUUGGCGACGACACGACGUUUGCUUCCUGCUCACUCCAGAGCCAGACUACGUGCCAGAGCCAGUCCCCCUGUGCGGAAGUGCACGACAGCUCGCGCCAGUCCCCCUGUCCGGGCGCGGUUUCUCGAGGCACCACAAACACACAUGCUCCUCUGCUCGACGCACUUGCUUACCAUUCAACCAAGUGUGUCAAAGAGCGAAUUGUCGUUGGAUGUUUAGAGGGACUAUGAUACCUCAGUCCAUCAGGAAUCAAAUUCUAGUGCUCGCAUUUAUUUUUGAAUUUAUUUCAAAAUUUUUGGAAAUACACAUUCAAUGGGAUGAGACGUUCUUGAAAUACCGGCUCAGUCUUUCGGAGAUGCUCAUAGGAAUAGGGUGCGUGUGUGCGUUCGAAGGGGUGUGUGUAUGCGCGUGUAUAUGAGCGCGUACGUCUGUAUUGUGUUAAAAAAUAGUAUAAAAAAACGUCUUACAUUAUGGGACAGAGGGAGCAUAUUUUUUUUUUACUUUCGCACAACUUCACCUUGUCAUGCAAAAAACACAAGCAAAUGAAUAGAAAAAUAUACAUUUUGACAUUUUGAGAAACCCCUGAGAAAACGCAAGGACAUUAUGCUUUCGAAAACAGAAAAAAAAAUUCAUAAAAGCAAAUCUUCUAAAGACAUCCCAAAACCAAUGGAAUGUAGGAAAUAAAUUGAGUAAAACAUUCUAAAGUGUAAAAGUAGAGAAUGCAUUCAACCAUAGUUCAAAAAUCGGACUAGAAAAAACCGGAACCAAAGAUCCUAUCGGAUUUUUAAGCCUAGCAGACCGUUCGAGCAAUCGAACCAAAAAAAACGAACAAACCAGGCUGCCACAUGUGCAUCAACUUGUUUUUGUCCACAAAUGUUGGGGGUAGAAUGGAAAAAAGAAAAAAAACCUCUUUUGCUAGGGUUUUGGCUUAAUCGGGAGGGUUUCCCUCGAUUUUGUGCAUAGGCAAACCAACCGCCACCUUGCUGGCUCCUUUGCAUGGAUACUUGGAUCCGUAUCAGAUACGUGAUAUGGGGAUACGACCGAUACGCCAAUUUUUUAAAAACAUGGAUACGGCGAUACAUCUAUACAUAGGUAUUACAUAUAUUAAUUAUUAAAAAUAUUGAAAACAAAAUAGAGCUUCAGGUCAAAGCAUGCCUCAAUAGGAUUAUUCCCUUUGUUUUCUUGCACUUGGUCCAUUUUCAUUAAUUGGCAGUGGGAUUUUCCCGGGUUUGUUGUUCCAAUCAGUGCAUCGACUCUCUCUUGCUCACCUUUCAGUUGAACAAGAACAUUGACAGUCAUGCUUUGGCAUGAACUCAUGCCCAUGUUGUGUAUCUUCAAAAGGUGUGCCUUUACUAUUGAAGGGAUUUCAUGUCGAACGAGGGGUUUCAGGUAUCCAAAAAGUAUCGCAGAAGUAUCAUAGGAGUAUCAAACAUUAUUAUUUUUAAAAUCAAAAAAUUGAGGGAUACUUACGGGAUACAUAUCGGGCCGUAUCGGGGCAGUAUCCGAGUAUCGGGGUAGUAUCCGGCUGGAUACACGCGCUUUCUGAAGUAUCCGGUCAACGUAGUCUGGCUCUGGCCUGGCGCCGUGGCCGCCACCCUUGCUUGACAAUGUGGCGCGCAGACGCCGCCUCUCCCUCUCGUCACUCCGUGUCGCGGCAGCACCAACACUAGCCACCAGGCGCCCCGCCACUCCCACCUCUGUUCUGCUUCUUGUUGAUGGCCAAGGAGAGGGAAGGGAACGCCGCCGCCUGAUAUCCCGUCGUCCACUUCCUCCGGUUGCCUCCCUUCAUGGCCUCACCUCCGGACCCCCCCUCCAGUUUGGCCUCUGCUCGGCUGCUCGAACUCACCAGGACGCCCCAACAGUCAACUUUGAUAUGAACAAUCCCUAUUCUCUUCUCCGUUCCCAAUCUCCAUCCUUCUAUUCUUCAUUUCUAGGAUCCUAGCAUGAGAUUGCAUAUUGGUUUGCAAUUUGUUUGCUGUCAUGCAAUGGUCAUGAUACAGUGGGAUUGUAUAUUUGUUUGCUGAUGAAAAUUGUAUUGUAUAUUGUUUGCUGUCAUGAUAUUGUUUGUUGUCAACUGUCAUGAUAUUUGAUGGUUGUCAUGAUAGAUGAUACAGUGGCAUUGUNNNNNNNNNNNNNNNNNNNNNNNNNNNNNNNNNNNNNNNNNNNNNNNNNNNNNNNNNNNNNNNNNNNNNNNNNNNNNNNNNNNNNNNNNNNNNNNNNNNNNNNNNNNNNNNNNNNNNNNNNNNNNNNNNNNNNNNNNNNNNNNNNNNNNNNNNNNNNNNNNNNNNNNNNNNNNNNNNNNNNNNNNNNNNNNNNNNNNNNNNNNNNNNNNNNNNNNNNNNNNNNNNNNNNNNNNNNNNNNNNNNNNNNNNNNNNNNNNNNNNNNNNNNNNNNNNNNNNNNNNNNNNNNNNNNNCUGAAUAUAUUGCUCAAACAGCUGCAAACGCAGCGAGUACAGAAUUACAGAGGCACGGUGCAACUUGCAGAGAGGUAGGAACGCCACGAGAAGACGUCCUCCUUGUCACCCGUAUCGAUGAGACGGUGUGACCAAAGAUCUAGGUCAGAGAUAAGGUUUCUAAUUGUUAUUACAGAACAUUGAUCGAUACUUCUAAACAACAUGUCAUUACGUGCUGCCCAAAUCUUCCGUAGUAGAGCAAGGAGAACGAAUGGCCAGGCCUUCAUGGGUAGGUGUUGAGGUAGCGGGGUGUCCCAUAGCUCAUUUAGGUCGUUGGUUACGGGCAGGAAGCCUACUCGUUGCGAUAUCCUAUUUGCAAGAGGACAUGUGAUGAAGAGAUGAGUAGAGUCUUCGGAUGACGUAGCACAUCGUGGGCAUAAAUUGGAGGAGAUUAUAUGCUUAUGAGCGAGGCUCACUCUAGUGUUGAGGCGAUAUUUGAAAAGAAGCCAAGAAAAAAUCUUGACUUUGCGAGGAGCUUUGGUGCCCCAGAUGAGAGGGGCCAUGAGAUCUGUGUCUGGCUUGGUCAUGAGUGAGCCGUAUGCUUGCUUGGUGGAGAAGUCAUGUCCCUGGAAUAGGAAAUGUUGAUCUUCCUUAGUCGACGGCGUGUAGUCCUGCAAAAGAGCCAAAAGCGAAGCAAGCUCUCGUUCUGCUAUAAGAGAGAGACAAUUACGGAGGUUGGUUUCGAUACCGAAGCAUAAAAUGUUGGCUCCUUUAACUAGUGGUAGGGUAGAGUGCGAGAAGAGGUACGGGAAGGUGGUAGCUAGGGUUUUUGGUGUGAGCCAGGUAUCCAUCCAGUAGUAUGUGUGUGUGCCACUGUUGGUGAGUACAAAGGAGAUUGACUGGAGUGUUGGGAUUUGUUGGGUUAUCGUGCGACACAAGAAGGAGGUUUGGGGGGCUGAGGAGACUAGGGCGUUUGGGUGUUGUAGGUCUAGCCAAUCUAGCCAAGGUUUCCCUCAAAUGGCGAGAGCAGCGUCAGCCGCUAGGCUUUCAUCCGUGUGAAGGGUAGCAAUGGUGGUUUUGGAGAAGUUGAUGGUGAGGCCGGUAGCUUGUGCAAAGCUAUUAAGGAUUUUUUUGAGGGUUGUGGCUGCCGGGGGCGAGGAGGCUGCGAUCAUAAGCGUAUCAUCGGCGUAUUGGAGAAUGGUGGGGGGCAGGUGGGUGAAGAUGGGGUGGUGGAGGAGAGUGGGCUCGGUGUUUUGGAUGAUGAGUUGCUAAAGUAGGUCGGCGACGAUGAGUUACAGGUAGGGAGAGGCUGGCUCGCCCUGUCGUAGGCCUUUUUUGCAUUGUAUCCAGUUGCCAGGAAUGCCAUUUAGGAGGAUAGCAGUUUUACCCACGUGGAGGAUGUUUUGGAUCCAGGAGCGAAAAGUUUGGGAGAAACCGCCGACAUCCAAGAUUCUGUCAAGGGCUAGCCAUGCGACAGAAUCAAAUGCUUUCCUGAAAUCGAGUUUGAAAACCAUGGUUGGCCUUUUGCGGGAGUGGCAAGAGCUGAUUAGGUGAGCCGCAUAGAUGUAGUUUUCGGCAAUAUUCCUUCCGGUGAUGAACCCUAUUUGAUUACCAUGAACCAAGCUAGGGAUGAGAGGUUUGAGGCGCGAGGUGGUGGCUUUAGCAAAAGCUUUUAUGGGGCAGUUUUGUAGGGAGAUUGGUCUGAAGGCGUCGGGGGAGGAGGGGGGUGUGUUCUUUGGGAGGAGGACGAUGUGGGCAUGAUUUAAACGUUCUGUGUCUGCUACGCCUUGGUGAAGUUGUUGGAAGAAGGGGAGAAUGGCGUGUCCUAUAGUGGGACAAAAGGAUCUAUAAAAGGAGGGGCCGAAACCAUCUGGUCCAGGGCUAGCUUGGGGGUUCAUUUGGAGGAAGGCCAACUUAAUUUCGUCUUCAGAGAAAGGUACGUCAAGGGCAUGUAGACCAGGCACGGGGUGAGGGUAAAUGGAAUUGAGGUCAAAAGCCCAGGUCGUCGUGGCAGGGGAUCCUAUGAGUGAGAUGAAAAAAUCCUGUAGGAUUUCUGCUUUGUGGGGAUGAGAGGUGAAUAACGUGCCGUCGCCUGUGAGGGAGAAAAUAUUGUUUUUUCUAAGGCGUUGUGAGGCAGACAUGUGGAAGAAUUUUGAGUUCUCACCUCCGUGGAUUGCUCGAGAAACUUUGGCACGCCAUUUCCAGUAGGCCAUUUUUCUUGGAUAUUGCAUUUGAGGAGGGACACGAUGAUUUUAUGAGUGAGUAGUUCGGGCGGAGAGAGAGGCCUGGAUUCUUCUGCACGAUCGAGGGCGGCGAUAGCGGUUUUACAUCGAGAUUCGCGGAGGGGGGCGGGAAUACGAGAGCGAGACCAUUUUUUGAGUCCGGCCCGAGUCUUUUUGAGCAAGUAAGUGAGGGUGGCGGCAGAGUUGGCGUUCAUGGAGGGCCAUGAAGGGGCCCAAACGGCGUUGAUAAUGUCACUGCAAGGCCGUAAAUUGGCCCAGCCAGGCUCAAAUUUGAAAAAAUUGGAUCACAGGAUCGUUGUCGUGACGUGAAUGAGGAGGGGUACGUGGUCGUAUGUGAAUCGCGUGAGGGAGGAGAGGGAAGAGUUUGGAAAGGCGUCUGACCAGGCUAAGUUAAAAAAGGCACGGUCGAUAUGUUCUAGGGUGGGUGUUGUUCUAUUAUUGGACCAAGUGUAUUGGCGGUCAAGAAGUGGUAGUUCAAUGAGGGUGAGUUCAUCAAGAGUUCGGUUAAAAGCAGUGGCUUCGGAUUGUCUAAACGCGUCAUUAUUUUUGUCGGAGGGGUACCGGAGGAGGUUGAAAUCUCCCACAAGUAGCCAGGGUGAGUCGUCUGGUUGUGAGAUAGCGAGCAACUCAUCGAGGAAAGAUUGCUUGAGGGCGCGGGAGGAGGGGGCAUAGAUGUUGGUGAUGGCUAUGUUGCGGUCACUUGCAUUGGAUCGCAAAAUCAAUGUUGACGAGAAGGUGAGGUGGUUGAAGGAGAUUACUUGGAAAGAGGCAGUAUUGACAGCGGAGAUGUUGCCACCCGCUGUUUCAACGGCGGGUAGGUGAAAAACUUGGUCGAGCUGCGUAGGCAUAAAGGAUCGUAGCUUUUGGUCCGAGAACGCAUCGAGUUUUGACUCUUGUAAUAGUGCAAUGUGGGGGUUGAUCGAGAUGAGUUCGGCGAGGAUGUCAGCACAUUUGGCAUCGUCGCCCAGACCACGCACAUUCCAUGAGUAGAUAGAGAAAGUGGCGUUACUCAUGUAGACGGAGCAUACACCAGAGGUUUAAGAUAGCAGUACAGGUACAUGAUAGUAGCAAAAGGUACAACAUCACGCUACUACGGAACUGGGUUGAUCUACCGAGGAGCAGGGCCCUAAAGUACAGAGGAACACGUAGGACGAGCAUGAAAAUGACAAAUGGCGGUGGCAUUGUGAUCCACCCCGACACGCAUGGCAGAGAUGGCGAGCUGAUCAUGGUGCGUUGUCAUCACCGGAGGCCGAGCCCUCAGCCUCAAGGAUCGCGUUUACAUGGUCGUCGUCCGCACUGCAGAGUAGUGCAAUGGUGGCCAGAUCUUCAGCGGAAGCGGGAGGAGCAUCAGAGACAUCUAGGUGUGCGUCGUGGAUGGCGCGAUCGAUGGCCGAGCCCACGUCUGCAGCGAAGAGGCGGGCGGUCUUGGCCUUGACAGCCUUGGCGAGCAUGGGGGAGUACUUGGCCUCCUUGCCAGCAAGCCGCGCGCUGCGAUGCAGCUUGUUUUUGGAGCAGGAUUGAUCACGGGCUGUCUUGUGGCGCUCCUUUGUAUGGUGCACUCGUGGGUGUCGAGGUCGUGGAGAGGGAGGUCUGCAUCCGUGGCGACAUGGGUCAGCACAGUGGUGGCAUUAACUAAAGUAAUGGAUUGAUUAGGAGACGGAGAGAUUGGGGUUUCAUCAGUUGCACGUGAUGAUUCACCAGCCGUGAAGGUGAAGGCGGGGGGAUCUGCAAUGGCAGGAGUCGGAGGCACGAACGCAGUAAAGGCAGAAGCGUCAGAGGGGACCAAGGGCCUGAUAGGCGGGGCGGCGUCCGCUGGGCGUGCAGGCGGAGAAGGUGGGAGCAUGGUCCCAACGAGUGGAGUCGGGCGGAUGACAGGUGGGCCCGUACAGCCGCCCGUGGGUGCAUGCACCACGUCUAGCGACUCCGUUAGAAUGCCAUGCAGGAGCGGCGCGUGCAUGUCUUUGGAGUCCAUCGAGUUGUCAUCAGAUAUGAUGAGUGGCUGGCGUAUGGAACCAGGUGGAAGAAAAGGGGAGGACAGUGCAGAGCCACUAGUGUCGUGACCAGGAAAGGCAGGAGUCGCACAUGUGCUAGUGCUGCCAUGUGGGGCAAUCGGGCGUGUACCACCGUACGUGGGGUCUGUGCGCCAAGCAGCAUGAAAAGCGGAGACGACUGGUGCAAUGUGAUCAGGUGAGAUGGGUCGUGGCGAGCCACGUUGAGAGAGAGGCGCAGAAUCUCCGUCAGAAGAGUUCGUGCCGAAGGGAUUGGCCCCGUCUCCGUGGUGCCAGCGAGAGACUUCUACCACCUUGGCUAUCUUGAUCUCAUUGAUAGGUGGGAGCUGGAUGACGAUGCCAGGGGGUGCUGGUUUGCUUGAUUGCAGCAGAACCAGAGCGCGGACAAAGGUAUAGUCUAUGCCAUGUAGGUAGAAAUCAUCCACAGCACACACGUCGCCAAGGAAGGCCAGGGCGAAACGGAUGCCGUCGUUGUGCCAAAGUUCAUGUGGAAAUUUGGAAACAUCGAUCUCUGCGAGGUCUGUGAAGAUGGCAAUGGAGCGGUCGACGUGCUCGACUGGCUCGAUGGUGAUGGUGUUGCCUUCGAAGUCUAUGGGGCUGUGACGAAUAACGUCAUUGCGGGCAGCUGGAGUGUGGAACGUGAGGCAUGCCACCCCACGUCAGGAGCCGCCCAUGAUGAAGGCAGGGUUUCUGCACGUGUGCUGGAUGGCGCGGCGGAUGAUGGGAGUGGGGUUGGGGUCGGGGGUUUGGAGGUCAGUGUAGGCGAAGCGGCACGGGCAGUGGACUAGGUAGGAAGGGGCUGCGACAAGCGGCAUAUCCAUGUAGGGAGGCAGCGGUCCAGCCUCGUGGACUGGGCGUGGCAGCUCGUCGUCGGAGUCGGAUUCGGAGACAUGCGACGUGGUUCUUGUGUUUUGAGAGGCGAGGCAGAUGUCAGAGAGACGGGCUCGUAGUUCGUGGGUGUCGAAGGGUGAAGUGUGUGAGUGCAUCUUGUUGUGGGGGGAGAGGUGGGUGAUGGCGGAGGGGCUGAGGUGCGUGGUGGAGAUGAUAGAGGCCAGAGACGGAGGUACCUGCAGUCGUGGCUGCGGUGGCCGCACCGCCAGCAACGAGCGCAGCGGACGGGGUCGCGGCAGGCCUCCUCGUAGUGAUCUAGGGCUAGGCAGCGGAAGCAGCGGCGUCGCUUUUUGGUGGCUGGAGGUGGAGGGGGAUGAAGAUGAGGGAGGCAGAGAAGGCGUCGGGGUAUAUAUGGUGGGCGGGGCAGCAGGUCACUGUGUCCGCAGGGAGGGGAGAGGAGUGUGUCUCGAUAUAAGCGCGUCGUGAUGCUGUUGGCCCAAGAGGGCAGCGGAUCUAGCAUCAGAACGGCGUGAUCUGUUGCGUGUGGCAGCGUUUGAAGCGACGGAGAGGUUAGGCGUGGUGAUCGAGUGGCCGGAUUAGGCUGUAGAGUAAUUUUAGGGACGAUGAUUAGCUCUAGAUGUUGGUCAGGAGUAGGAGGGGGUGCGGCAGUGGCGAGGGAUGAUAACCCACAAGUAUAGGGGAUCACAACAGUUUUCGAGGGUAGAGUAUUCAACCCAAAUUUAUUGAUUCGACACAAGGGGAGCCAAAGAAUAUUCUCAAGUAUUAGCAGCUGAGUUGUCAAUUCAAACACACCUGGAAACUUAGUAUCUGAAGCAAAGUGUUUAGUAGCAAAGUAAUAUGAUAGUGGUGGUAACGGUAACAAAAGUAAAGACAUCAAAAGUAAUGUUUUUGGUAUUUUGUAGUGAUUGUAACAGUAGCAACAGAAAAGUAAAUAAGCGAGAACCAGUAUAUGGAAAACUCGUAGGCACCGGAUCAGUGAUGGAUAAUUAUGCCGGAUGUGGUUCGUCAUGUAAUAGUUAUAACAUAGGGUGACACAGAACUAGCUCCAGUUCAUCAAUCUAAUGUAGGCAUGUAUUCCGAAUAUAGUCAUACGUGCUUAUGGAAAGAACUUGCAUGACAUCUUUUGUCCUACCCUCUCGUGGCAGCGGGGUCCUAUUGAAAACUAAGGGAUAUUAAGGCAUCAUUUUAAUAGAGAACCGGAACAAAGCAUUAGCACAUAGUGAAUACAUGAACUCCUCAAACUAUGGUCAUCACCGGGAGUGGUGGUUCCGAUUAUUGUCACUUCGGGGUUGCCGGAUCAUAACACAUAGUAGGUGACUAUAGACUUGCAAGAUAGGAUCAAGAACUCACAUAUAUUCAUGAAAACAUAAUAGGUUCAGAUCUGAAAUCAUGGCACUCGGGCCCUAGUGACAAGCAUUAAGCAUAGCAAAGUCAUAGCAACAUCAAUCUCAGAACAUAGUGGAUACUAGGGAUCAAACCCUAACAAAACUAACUCGAUUACAUGAUAAAUCUCAUCCAACCCAUCACCGUCCAGCAAGCCUACGAUCGAAUUACUCACGCACGGCGGUGAGCAUCAUGAAAUUGGUGAUGAAGGACGGUUGAUGAUGACGACGGCGACGAAUCCCCCUCUCCGGAGCCCCGAGCGGACUCCAGAUGAGCCCUCCCGAGAGAGAUUAGGGCUUGGCGGCGGCUCCGUAUCGUAAAACGCGAUGAUUUCUUCUCUCUGAUUUUUUUCUCCUCGAAAGCUAAUAUAUGGAGUUGGAGUUGGCGUCGGAGGGCCACCAGGGGGCCCACGAGGUAGGGGGCGCGCCCUAGGGGGGCACCCUCGUGGACAGGGUGUGGGCCCCCUGGUCUUCAUCUUUGGCAAGGAUUUUUUAUUAUUUAUUCUAAGAUAUUCCGUGGAGUUUCAGGUCAUUUCGAGAACUUUUAUUUUCUGCACAUAAAACAACAUCAUGGCAAUUCUGUUGAAAACAGCGUCAGUCCGGUUAGUUCCAUUCAAAUCAUACAAGUUAGAGUCCAAAACAAGGGCAAAAGUGUUUGGAAAAGUAGAUACGACGGAGACGUAUCAACUCCCCCAAGCUUAAACCCUUGCUUGUCCUCAAGCAAUUCAGUUGACAAACUGAAAGAGAAAAAGAAAAACUUUUACAAACUCUGUUUUCUCUUGUUGUUGUAACAUGAAAAGCCAACAUUCAAGUUUCAGCAAAUAUUAUGAACUAACCAUACUAACAAUAACACAAAGGUCUCACAAUUACUCAUAUCAAUAGCAUAAUCAGCUAGCGAGCUAUAAUAACAAAACUCGGAUGACAACACUUUCUCAAAAUAAUCAUAACAUGAUAUAACAAAAUGGUAUCUCGCUUGCCCUUUCUGAGACCGCAAAACAUAAAUGCGGAGCACCUUUAAAGAUCAAGGACUGACUAAACAUUGUAAUUCAUGGUAAAAGAGAUCCAGUCAAGUCAUACCCAAUAUAAACCAGUUAUAAUGAAUGCAAACGACAGUGUGCUCUCCAGCGGGUGCUUUUUAAUAAGAAGGAUGAUGACUCAACAUAAAAGUAAAUAGAUAGGCCCUUCGCAGAGGGAAGCAUGGAUUUGUAGAGGUGCCGGAGCUCGGUGAGGGAGUUCCGGACUAGGGGGUGUCCGGAUAGCCGAACUAUCAUCAUCGGCCGGACUCCAAGACUAUGAAGAUACAAGAUUGAAGACUUCGUCCCGUGUCCGAAUGGGACUUUCCUUGGCGUGGAAGGCAAGCUUGGCGAUACGGAUAUGUAGAUCUCCUACUGUAACGCCCCGAGACCGAUGCUCCAGUAGACUUCCAGCUAUUCCGAGUUUCGUCGUGUGAUUUGUUUUAUUUGUUGCAUUCAUCCUUGCAUCAUGUGCAUUGCAUCAUGUCAUCAUGCCAUCGUAUCAUUAAUUUUUAAAACCUCAACUAAAUAAAUUGUAUGGAUUUUUCGAUCCAUUUAAAUCGAGGGAAUUCACAUGGUGAUUCUCUUUAAAACACAUCCUCUCGAUAUUUAGAGAGCUAUAGUAAAUAUUUCAUUUCGGGAAAUCACCCAUAACACAUUUGCAUUAUUCUUCUACUCUUCUUUUAUCCGACUCAACCUCCUAUCCUGCUUUUUCGAUCUUUUAGUAAAAUUGAGUUGCAAAUUUUACUUCUCCAUUAAUGUUCCAAAUCUGCCCAUAAAUCACAUCUGGUGCGUAGGGUCACCUCCUAUAGUUUCAACCCAUUUGGAGCUCAUUUGAAUGGGUUUCAAAUUCAAACUUGCUGAGUUAAAUCCAAUGCGUGUGGAUUUUACUUCCCUAAAAAAAAUCCUCUUCCCAUUUUAUUUAAAUUCCUCAUAUUUUUAUGAGACUGUGAAAACUAUCCCCAUGCCCAGAUUCCACCCCUACCUUCUCUUUCUCUUCUUUCUCUUUUUCUGUUUUGUUGGUAAAUGGAAAAAAGAAUAGGAGAGAGAGAAGAGAAGCCCAGCUGGCCCAUUUGCCUGGAGGUCCAGCCCACCUAACCCCUUCCUAACCCUAGCCUCGAAGGCCAGCCCAGCCUCUCUCCCUCGACUCCCUCCAGCGCCGCUGCAAUGCUCGAUCCCAUCUCCUUCCUCUCGCUCGAAGCCCCUCCUCUCGAUCCCUUUUCCCCUUCGUUCUCCUCCUGGCGCCGCCACUCACAGGGAGAGAGAGGAGCAGAGCCCUCGCGCCGCCCCUCCCCUAUGCUUCUCCCGCAUCGAGCGCGCGUCCCCGCCGGCUCCCGUCGCCCCUGCCUCGACGCCUGCUUCGCCUCCUUUGCCCUAUCGCGUCGUUCCUCAAGCUCCCGCGCCCUGUUUCUCCUCCCGCGCCGACGCCCUCCUUCGGCUGCUCGCGCCUGCAGCUCCGUCCGCGAGCUCGUGCAGCUAUGGCCGCCACAGGAGCCUCGCGCCCGACCCCCUCGCUGAGGCCAUGGAUGUCCGCGGCCCCGCCUUCCUGCACCUCCACACGCCGCCCGCACACGCCACCAACCGCUGCUCCGCCUCCAUCGAGCUUCAUCCCCUGCUGUCACUGGAUCGCCAAGAUGCAACCCCGACCACGUCGGCCCCUUCCUCGUACAACGCUCAAGCCUUCAUGCCCGAGGCCUUCGUCAUCUCUCUGUGUUGCGCUGCGUGCGACCCUGUCAGCCACAUGGUCGCCACCUCUGCAGUCUCCUACUGUUGUUUCGUGCACCUUCGCUGCCGGUUGGCGUUGACGCAAGACCAACGGCUUCAUCGUCGUUCGCCUACAUGCCCGAACCUCGAAGAUCCCGUGGAACGCCAAGUACCACUAUCCAUCUCCGAGGAUUUCUCCAAGUACCGCACCGGACACCAAGUUCAUCUACGAAAAACGUGUACAACUACCGUCGCCGUGUACAACUACUUCCACUACCGUCGCCCCGAAGGCGUUGGAUUCUUCAAGUACCUCUCCGAAAACGAACAUGUACCACUACUUCAACUACUUCCACUACGACCGUUGCGAGAACGUCUACUUCCUCUUCAUUGCACCGAACUCGUUCCGCCCCGAAAAUACACGCUUCAAAGGUAUAACCAACGAGACGAUCACCCGUGGACCGAGUGUGUGUGUUGUAUGAGAUGCCCGUGCUUGCGCCGUGUCCAAAUUGUCGCUUGCGCAUUCCUUCUCGUUUGCCAUGCCACCGACACGUGGGAACCCGGUAUCUGGGAUCACCCCACCAUCUUCUGUAUGUUUCGCACAUCCGCACACUUGCUCUUUUGCACCGGUAUCUCAAUGAGUUAUCGGAUCAUCAGAAUGUUGUCGUGGCACCAUUUUCGUUAUCGUUGCCGUGGCACCAUUUUCGUUAUCGUUGCCGUGGCACCCUUUCUUUCCGCCACGGUGACAAAUGCUUCAUAACAUGCUCAUGUCAACAUUUUCAUAAAAUUGCAUAAAACUUGUAUAUGUCAUCCGCAUCAUGAUAACAACAUUUAAAAUGUUUAAACUUGUUGUUGCAUUAAAUUGCUAAAUGCAUAUGGGGAUUUACCGGAUUUGUUGUUUUUAUAUCCGGCCCCAUUUAAAUUGUUUAGAUGGUAUAGUUUAUAUUAUGCUUCACCUCUUGCCAUGUUUAACAACAGUUAAUAUUGUUGGGUAGCUUAAAUGAGAGAUAACUAAAUAAUUGAUGUGGUGUUCCGUCAACAUGCACCUCGUUGCAUAUUGAGCUCCACUUAACUUGUAGUAUUGUUUGUUGCACUUUGCCAUGCCAUGCCUCAUUAAACCGGACAUGCAUCAUACUUGUUUGCGCAUCAUGCCAUGUUUAUGUGAUGUUUGUUUACUAUGUUGUUUGUUUCUUUCCGGGUUGCUUCUCUCGUUAGCUUCGGUUUCGUUCCGGAGUUGUGAGGAUUUGUUCGUCUACGACCGUUUGUCUUCUUCUUGGAUUCGUUCUUCUUCCUUGCGGGAUCUCAGGCAAGAUGAUCAUACCCUCGAAAUCACUACUAUCUUUGCUAUGCUAGUUUGCUCGCUCUUUUGCUAUGCCAAUGCUACGAUGCCUACCAUUUGCUUGUCAGCCUCCCAAAUUGCCAUGGCAAACCUCUAACCCACCAUGUCCUAGCAAACCGUUGAUUGGCUAUGUUACCGCUUUGCUUAGCCCCUCUUAUAGCGUUGUUAGUUGCAGGUGAAGAUUGAAGUUUGUUCCUUGUUGGAACAUGGAGAUGUUGUUCCUUGUUGGAACAUGUUUACUUGUUGGGAUAUCACAAUAUAUCUUAUUUAAUUAAUGCAUCUAUAUACUUGGUAAAGGGUGGAAGGCUCGGCCUUAUGCCUGGUGUUUUGUUCCACUCUUGCCACCCUAGUUUCCGUCAUAUCGGUGUUAUGUUCCCGGAUUUUGCGUUCCUUACGCGGUUGGGCUAUAAUGGGAACCCCUUGACAGUUCGCCUUAAGUAAAGCUUCUCCAGCAAUGCCCAACAUUGGUUUUACCAUUUGCCACCUAGCCUUUUCUUUCCCUUGGGUUCUGCAGACUCAAGGGUCAUCAUUUUUUANNNNNNNNNNGUGCUCCUCUGAGUGUUGGUCCGAACUAGAGUCCUGUGCAGCGCCCCCUCGGGGAAACUCGAGGUUUGGUUUUAGUUGUAUGGAGCGCUCAUCUGAGUGUGCCCUGAGAAAGAGAUAUGUGCAGCUCCUAUCGGGAUUUGUCGGCACAUUCGGGCGGUGUUGCUGGUUUAGUUUUACCCUGUCGAAAUGUCUUGUUGUACUGGGAUACCGAGUCUGAUCGGAAUGUCUCGGGUGGAGGUCUAUUCCUUCGUUGACCGUGAGAGCUUGUGAUGGGCUAAGUUGGGACACCCCUGCAGGGAUUUGAACUUUCGAAAGCCGUGCCCGCGGUUAUGGGCAGAUGGGAAUUUGUUAACGUCCGGUUGUAGAAAACCCGAAGUUGACCUUAAUUAAAAUACAUCAACCGUGUGUGUAACCGUGAUGGUCUCUUUCCGGCGGAGUCCGGGAAGUGAACACAGUGUUGGAGUUAUGCUUGACGUAGGUUGCUAUAGGAUCACUUCUUGAUCAUACUUCUAUCGACCGUGCUUUGCCUUCUCUUCUCGCUCUCAUUUGCGUAUGUUAGCCACCAUAUAUGCUAGUCGCUUGCUGCAGCUCCACCUCAUUACUCCAUCCUUCCUAUAAGCUUAAAUAGUCUUGAUCUCGCGGGUGCGAGAUUGCUGAGUCCCCGUGGCUCACAGAUACUUCCAAAACCAGUUUGCAGGUGCCUAUGUUACCGAAUAGGUGACGCAACCAAGCUCAAGGAGGAGCUCGAUGAAGAUCUUGCCCUUUGUGUUGUUUCGUUCUAGUUGAUCAGUAGUGGAGCCCAGUUGGGGUCGAUCAGGGACCUUUGUCGCAUUUGGGGUUCUUCUUUUAUUUUGGUUCCGUAGUCGGACCUUGAUUGUAUCUGGAUGAUGUAAUGCUUUAUUCAUGUAAUUGUGUGAAGUGGCGAUUGUAAGCCAACUAUGUAUCUCUUUCCCUUAUGUAUUACAUGGGUUGUGUGAAGAUUACCUCACUUGCGACAUUGCUUUCAAUGCGGUUAUGCCUCUAAGUCGUGCUUCGACACGUGGGAGAUAUAGCCGCAUCGAGGGCGUUACAAGUUGGUAAUCAGAGCCUUCCCCGACCUUAGGAGCCCCCACUGAUUGAUCGUUUUUAGCGGCCGAGUUGUGUCUAGAAAAAUGUUUUGAGUCCUUUAGGAAUUAUAUAUCGGAGAGUUUAGGAAUUCUUUUUACUCCCCAGUCCCUUCGUCGCUCUGGUGAGGCAUCAUGACGUAGAGUUUUGACUCUUCUCUUCUCAAAUUUCACUAAAAAAAAUUUUAGGAUCACGCGGGUAUCUUGGAAUCGUUCCGAUGGUUUUAUGAUGAGAACAUUGUCUUGGUGCCUCCUGUCAGGGGUUUUGUGGAAGUGUCCCGGGGAGUUGAGCUCUGAGGUGUUGUCAUCAUAAUUUUAUCGUUGCAAUUCUGGUAUACCUGAGUUUAGUACGCCGACAUCGAAAAUCUCUUUUAUGCAGUUCGUUGGUGAGAUAACCUCGACGCCACCCAGUACUGGGGCGGGAGUUCGGGAGUAUUGCCAUAACUUGUAUAACGGAUGCUUUUCGAAGGUUGAGGUAGAUGGUUUCCGAAGUUUUCUUGGUUAUGUGUUGAAGGAUGGAUACAGCUGGAUGUAGGAUUUGUUAGUUUGGGUGAGAUAUUAUGCUUCCCCUGUAUCCCCAACACCUGAUUGCAUAACCAGAAAAUUUCGGGAGUUUCAUAGGUGGGAAUUCAAGUAGCUCUUAGGAUAUCUUUCCGACAGAUGUAUGAUAUGAAAUUGGGGUUCGACGUCUAGUGGUCCGCCUAUUCACGGUUGAAUUUUACAGUGGUCUCGUUGUGUCUUAAAGAGUCCUUGGCUAUGCCGACUCGGGGACGCUUCGUAUGUCAUGUGCACUGCCUUGUACAUGAUGGUGCUGUACGAUCGAGCCCGUGUAGGCCCCGCCACGAAAACUUCGGACGAAAUCUCUAUCAUAUGUUUGUUCUGGCUUAUUUUGCAAGCCAAUCCUUUGUUUUGUUUUGAGUUGUGGUAUUCGAGUUGCUUCGAAGUCAAAUGUUGAUUCCAUACCUUUUCCAAAUGGUGUUCUCAUAUUCCUAUGUGAAUACUAAUCCUUCUUGAUCAUCGAGUCUGUCUUGUCAAUCCUUUUUUUUUAACCGGUGUGUCUCUCCUCAAGUGGAUCCGUUCACGUCAACAUUUGCAAGAUCAUUUAUCACUUCUUCUCAACGCUGUUUGUUUCAUCCGUCUCCAAGUUGCCUUUGUUUUUCCCACCCUCCCUCCCUUUUGUUUUUCUUCAAGGACUAAGAUUUCUUCUUCAAGUAUCCAUUUUAUUGAUGGGAAGUUUCUCCAUUCUUUUCCGUCAAUGUUCUUAUCCGGUGAUUCUCAUGAAGAUUCUAAUGGAGCUUCAAGUUCAUCAUUCCUCGUUCUUUUCUUCUCCGGUGGAUUUAAUUCAAGCUUUGGUAUUAAGCAUACUCCUUUUCUUUUUUUUCCAAUGCUUUUCUUAUGCCGGUGCACCUCUUAAUCAUCCAUCUCUCGCUAUUAAAUUGUUCCGGAGUGCUCAAGAUAUCUCGAAGAUUCGUGUUUCCAUUCUGCAUUCGUUCAAGCUCUUUCGAGAUUGGUAUCUCAUUCAAGUCAUUUAAUUCAACCGGUGCAACAUCUCUUUUAAAUCUUUUCAACGGUGUUCUUUUGAGUGGGCCCUAACCCACAGGUCUUUUCCCAGGAUCUUACCUGACUCUUCUAUUUUCCCAGAGCUAUCCUAAAUUCUUCUCCAAGUUUGAUGUAAGAAUGAGUUAUCAUUAGUCAAAUGCUUUUCUCCAAGAUCUUUCAAAUUCUUUUCAUAGUUGGCUCAACCUCUUCGCUUUUGAUUCUUCCGGUGUGCCUCAAUAAUUCUUGGUGGUGUUUCUCAUCGUCAUUCUCAGAUAUUGAAGACCGAUGAAGACUUUUCCUCCAUAUCUAUCCGCUCUCUCAGAGAUUCGUGAUUCUAGCUUGUUGCCAUCCUCUCAUAAUUAUUUGCGAUUGUGAGAUAUUCUUUUUAUCCAUCCGGUGCAAAUUCAGGAGUCUUUUCAGUUUGAUUCUCUGAAGGCCAUUAUUUCGGGAUUAUUCAUUCUCAGCUUUCAGUUAUCACUCUCCAAUUUUACCGGUGCAUCAAGUGAUCUCUAAUCAGCUCGUGAUCUCUGCGCUCUCAUGUAUCUAAAUCCUCUCAAGCAUCCUCGUUCAUUUCCAAAUUCUUCCGGUGAUUCGUUAUCUUUUAUUCGUUCCUUUCAAUUCUUCCUGUGGUUCGUUCAAGAGUUUUCUUCCUUUGUGUAUCAUAUCUAUGUAUUUGUUAUUUCAAUUCUACCGGUGGUUCGUUGAAGACCUUCUCAAGUUUUGAUAUAUCUCUUUUAAUCCUUUCUACGAGAAUAAGUAGUAUGCCAAAUCCGUUGAUUGUCAUCAAUUUAAUUGGUGAAGGAUAAGCAUAACAUAAUUCUUAUUCUUGUUCAUCCAAGUGAUUAAUUCUUUAUUCCGGAGGCCCUUCAAAUUCUCGGUUUCAUUUGUUUCAUCUUCUCUUUUCCCCGGAAUUCCAAGCUCUAAUUAUCACGGAGAUUCAUUUAAAUCAUUGUAAGUCUUCACCUUGUGUUUCCAUCUUCUCUUGCCUUCCGUUUGAGCAUUCUUUUGUUUAACGGAGUUCUUCGGGAAGGUUCUACAUGUUGGUUCAUAAAGGAUUUAAUUUCUUCUUGAAGUGUUCAUCAAGAUUCUUUUCUAAGAAACUCAAGCUUUCUUCAUAUGGUAAUCCUGAGUGCAAUUCUUUCUACCAUAUUUUGGAGGUGGUAUUAUGUCAUUCUUGAUAAUUUGAGUUCAUGUUCCAUGAUUCACAUGUUGUUAAGAAUGAGUUAUUUUUAAAUCCAUCAACCUCGUUGUUGGAGUUAUCUUGUGUCAUAUUUCACCUAAAAGCCUUCCAUUGGAAUGUUGCUAUUUGUGGUGCUUGCCAAUGAUCCAAGUUAUCUCUUUAUCAUCUUGGUGGAAGAAGUGUUCAUCUCUUCGUCGAUCUAAAGCUAGCAAUCGUUUCCGUUAGUGGCCGGUUGUCACCUCAUAAUUUUGAGAUGUUUUCCAUAAGCCCACUACAAGCUUAUUCGUUUCGUUGUUAGUUUUUCCCAACAACCCCGUUGUAACCUUCUUGGAAGGAUGCUUUCCAAACUCAUUUGUGGCAGAAGUUGGCAUUUUCUUCUCCAUUCUGUUAUUCCAAUGAUAUAUCUUCUAUUAUUUCUUUCGGAGGCAUUGUGACGUUGCUCUUUUCACUCACCAUCUCGAUUCGUGAGGAUCGUGUUCUUUUCUUGCUUAUCCAUUUAACCGGAGUGUCGUGUUUUCAUUCGAGUUCUCUAAUCUUAUCAAGUUUUCCCUCCUUCCUCAACUGGAGAGCUGUCUGAAAUCCUUCUUACCCAUUGUGCCAUUCUUUCAAUAGUUCCGGAGGCAGUGUGUUGUUGAUUUCAUCAAGUAGCAUCCCAUCUUCUCAAGUUCAUGUUCUAUUCCUUCCAUGUUCAACCGGAGUACUGCCCGAAUUCUUCCCCUCUCAUCUUGUUUUAACCGGAGUGGUUUCGAAUUCUAUCUUGUCCAUUAAACUCUUGAUUCAUGUCUUUGCAGCCUUCAAGUUCUCGUAAUGUUCCUUGUUCCUUUUUUUUUCUAACGGAUUGUUUGCAAUCUCGUUCUUCUCAGUUGUGCUCUUUCUUUUAAAUUGCUCAACCUCUCAAGGUUCUUUGGUUUCACUCAUUGGUCGAAGAAGCAACUUAGUUUUACCUCUUCUCUUCCUCUUCCAUUUCUCUCCGGUGCCAUCCUAGAUCUCGGGACGAGAUCCUCUUGUAGUGGUGGAGUGUUGUAACGCCCCGAGACCGACGCUCCAGUAGACUUCCAGCUAUUCCGAGUUUCGUCGUGUGAUUUGUUUUAUUUGUUGCAUUCAUCCUUGCGUCAUGUGCAUUGCAUCAUGUCAUCAUGCCAUCAUAUCAUUAAUUUUUAAAACCUCAACUAAAUAAAUUGUAUGGAUUUUUCGAUCCAUUUAAAUCGAGGGAAUUCACAUGGUGAUUCUCUUUAAAACAUAUCCUCUCGAUAUUUAGAGAGCUAUAGUAAAUAUUUCAUUUCGGGAAAUCACCCAUAACACAUUUGCAUUAUUCUUCUACUCUUCUUUUAUUCGACUCAACCUCCUAUCCUGCUUUUUCGAUCUUUUAGUAAAAUUGAGUUGCAAAUUUUACUUCUCCAUUAAUGUUCCAAAUCUGCCCAUAAAUCACACCUGGUGCGUAGGGUCACCUCCUAUAGUUUCAACCCAUUUGGAGCUCAUUUGAAUGGGUUUCAAAUUCAAACUUGCUGAGUUAAAUCCAAUGCGUGUGGAUUUUACUUCCCUAAAAAAAAUCCUCUUCCCAUUUUAUUUAAAUUCCUCAUAUUUUUAUGAGACCGUGAAAACUAUCCCCAUGCCCAGAUUCCACCCCUACCUUCUCUUUCUCUUCUUUCUCUUUUUCUGUUUCGUUGGUAAAUGGAAAAAAGAAUAGGAGAGAGAGAAGAGAAGCCCAGCCGGCCCAUUUGCCUGGAGGUCCAGCCCACCUAACCCCUUCCUAACCCUAGCCUCGAAGGCCAGCCCAGCCUCUCUCCCUCGACUCCCUCCAGCGCCGCCGCAAUGCUCGAUCCCAUCUCCUUCCUCUCGCUCGAAGCCCCUCCUCUCGAUCCCUUUUCCCCUUCGUUCUCCUCCUGGCGCCGCCACUCACAGGGAGAGAGAGGAGCAGAGCCCUCGCGCCGCCCCUCCCCUAUGCUUCUCCCGCAUCGAGCGCGCGUCCCCGCCGGCUCCCGUCGCCCCUGCCUCGACGCCUGCUUCGCCUCCUUUGCCCUAUCGCGUCGUUCCUCAAGCUCCCGCGCCCUGUUUCUCCUCCCGCGCCGACGCCCUCCUUCGGCUGCUCGCGCCUGCAGCUCCGUCCGCGAGCUCGUGCAGCCAUGGCCGCCACAGGAGCCUCGCGCCCGACCCCCUCGCUGAGGCCAUGGAUGUCCGCGGCCCCGCCUUCCUGCACCUCCACACGCCGCCCGCACACGCCACCAACCGCUGCUCCGCCUCCAUCGAGCUCCAUCCCCUGCUGUCACUGGAUCGCCAAGAUGCAACCCCGACCACGUCGGCCCCUUCCUCGUACAACGCUCAAGCCUUCAUGCCCGAGGCCUUCGUCAUCUCUCUGUGUUGCGCUGCGUGCGACCCUGUCAGCCACAUGGUCGCCACCUCUGCAGCCUCCUGCUGCUGUUUCGUGCACCUUCGCUGCCGGUUGGCGUUGACGCAAGACCAACGGCUUCAUCGUCGUUCGCCUACAUGCCCGAACCUCGAAGAUCCCGUGGAACGCCAAGUACCACUAUCCAUCUCCGAGGAUUUCUCCAAGUACCGCACCGGACACCAAGUUCAUCUACGAAAAACGUGUACAACUACCGUCGCCGUGUACAACUACUUCCACUACCGUCGCCCCGAAGGCGUUGGAUUCUUCAAGUACCUCUCCGAAAACGAACAUGUACCACUACUUCAACUACUUCCACUACGACCGUUGCGAGAACGUCUACUUCCUCUUCAUUGCACCGAACUCGUUCCGCCCCGAAAAUACACGCUUCAAAGGUAUAACCAACGAGACGAUCACCCGUGGACCGAGUGUGUGUGUUGUAUGAGAUGCCCGUGCUUGCACCGUGUCCAAAUUGUCGCUUGCGCAUUCCUUCUCGUUUGCCAUGCCACCGACACGUGGGAACCCGGUAUCUGGGAUCACCCCACCAUCUUCUGUAUGUUUCGCACAUCCGCACACUUGCUCUUUUGCACCGGUAUCUCAAUGAGUUAUCGGAUCAUCAGAAUGUUGUCGUGGCACCAUUUUCGUUAUCGUUGCCGUGGCACCAUUUUCGUUAUCGUUGCCGUGGCACCCUUUCUUUCCGCCACGGUGACAAAUGCUUCAUAACAUGCUCAUGUCAACAUUUUCAUAAAAUUGCAUAAAACUUGUAUAUGUCAUCCGCAUCAUGAUAACAACAUUUAAAAUGUUUAAACUUGUUGUUGCAUUAAAUUGCUAAAUGCAUAUGGGGAUUUACCGGAUUUGUUGUUUUUAUAUCCGGCCCCAUUUAAAUUGUUUAGAUGGUAUAGUUUAUAUUAUGCUUCACCUCUUGCCAUGUUUAACAACAGUUAAUAUUGUUGGGUAGCUUAAAUGAGAGAUAACUAAAUAAUUGAUGUGGUGUUCCGUCAACAUGCACCUCGUUGCAUAUUGAGCUCCACUUAACUUGUAGUAUUGUUUGUUGCACUUUGCCAUGCCAUGCCUCAUUAAACCGGACAUGCAUCAUACUUGUUUGUGCAUCAUGACUUGUUUAUGCUUGUGUGUUUACUAUGUUGUUUGUUUCUUUCCGGGUUGCUUCUCUCGUUAGCUUCGGUUUCGUUCCGGAGUUGUGAGGAUUCGUUCGACUACGUCCGUUUGUCUUCUUCUUGGACUCGUUCUUCUUCCUUGCGGGAUUUCAGGCAAGAUGAUCAUACCCUCGAAAUCACUACUAUCUUUGCUAUGCUAGUUUGCUCGCUCUUGCUAUGCCAAUGCUACGAUGCCUACCAUUUGCUUGUCAGCCUCCCAAAUUGCCAUGUCAAACCUCUAACCCACCAUGUCCUAGCAAACCGUUGAUUGGCUAUGUUACCGCUUGCUCAGCCCCUCUUAUAGCGUUGUUAGUUGCAGGUGAAGAUUGAAGUUUGUUCCUUGUUGGAACAUGGAGAUGUUGUUCCUUGUUGGAACAUGUUUACUGGUUGGGAUAUCACAAUAUAUCUUACUUAAUUAAUGCAUCUAUAUACUUGGUAAAGGGUGGAAGGCUCGGCCUUAUGCCUGGUGUUUUGUUCCACUCUUGCCGCCCUAGUUUCCGUCAUAUCGGUGUUAUGUUCCCGGAUUUUGCGUCCCUUACGCGGUUGGGCUAUAAUGGGAACCCCUUGACAGUUCGCCUUAAGUAAAGCUUCUCCAGCAAUGCCCAACAUUGGUUUUACCAUUUGCCACCUAGCCUUUUCUUUCCCUUGGGUUCUGCAGACUCAAGGGUCAUCAUUUUUUAACCCCCCCGGGCCAGUGCUCCUCUGAGUGUUGGUCCGAACUAGAGUCCUGUGCAGCGCCCCCUCGGGGAAACUCGAGGUUUGGUUUUAGUUGUAUGGAGCGCUCAUCUGAGUGUGCCCUGAGAAAGAGAUAUGUGCAGCUCCUAUCGGGAUUUGUCGGCACAUUCGGGCGGUGUUGCUGGUUUAGUUUUACCCUGUCGAAAUGUCUUGUUGUACUGGGAUACCGAGUCUGAUCGGAAUGUCUCGGGUGGAGGUCUAUUCCUUCGUUGACCGUGAGAGCUUGUGAUGGGCUAAGUUGGGACACCCCUGCAGGGAUUUGAACUUUCGAAAGCCGUGCCCGCGGUUAUGGGCAGAUGGGAAUUUGUUAACGUCCGGUUGUAGAAAACCCGAAGUUGACCUUAAUUAAAAUACAUCAACCGUGUGUGUAACCGUGAUGGUCUCUUUCCGGCGGAGUCCGGGAAGUGAACACGGUGUUGGAGUUAUGCUUGACGUAGGUUGCUAUAGGAUCACUUCUUGAUCAUACUUCUAUCGACCGUGCUUUGCCUUCUCUUCUCGCUCUCAUUUGCGUAUGUUAGCCACCAUAUAUGCUAGUCGCUUGCUGCAGCUCCACCUCAUUACUCCAUCCUUCCUAUAAGCUUAAAUAGUCUUGAUCUCGCGGGUGCGAGAUUGCUGAGUCCCCGUGGCUCACAGAUACUUCCAAAACCAGUUUGCAGGUGCCUAUGUUACCGAACAGGUGACGCAACCAAGCUCAAGGAGGAGCUCGAUGAAGAUCUUGCCCUUUGUGUUGUUUCGUUCUAGUUGAUCAGUAGUGGAGCCCAGUUGGGGUCGAUUAGGGACCUUUGUCGCAUUUGGGGUUCUUCUUUUAUUUUGGUUCCGUAGUCGGACCUUGAUUGUAUCUGGAUGAUGUAAUGCUUUAUUCAUGUAAUUGUGUGAAGUGGCGAUUGUAAGCCAACUAUGUAUCUCUUUCCCUUAUGUAUUACAUGGGUUGUGUGAAGAUUACCUCACUUGCGACAUUGCUUUCAAUGCGGUUAUGUCUCUAAGUCGUGCUUCGACACGUGGGAGAUAUAGCCGCAUCGAGGGCGUUACACCUACCAUUGUAACCGACUCUGUGUAACCCUAGCCCUCUCCGGUGUCUAUAUAAACCGGAUGGCUUUAGUCCAUAGGACGAACAACAAUCAUACCAUAGGCUAGCUUAUAGGGUUUAGCCUCCUUGAUCUCGUGGUAGAUCCACUCUUGUAACACACAUCAUCAAUAUUAAUCAAGCAGGUCGUAGGGUUUUACCUCCAUCAAGAGGGCCCGUCGUGUCCCUUGUCUCCUGUUUCCAUCCGCCUAGACGCACAGUUCGGGAUCCCCUACCCGAGAUCCACCGGUUUUGACACCGACAUUGGUGCUUUCAUUGAGAGUUCCUCUGUGUCGUCACCAUCAGGAAGGAUGCCUUUUCCCGUCUUUAAAGAUGGCACCAUCGUCAAGGGAGCUUUGGCCGCCGGCCAGACUAUCCGGCUAGGCGGUUUUCCUAUGACCGCCUGUUCGGCCAUCGCUCCGACAAUGACCUCUCGUGUCAUUAAAAGCGAUCUUCACAUCAGCUCGGAAUUCGCCGAGCAGCUAGAUCCGAUUGAGCUCUCCUCCGUAAACGAGCUCUUGGAUCCCAUCGCCGCCCUGGGAGUCGCUACCGACUAGGAUCAGAUUUGGCUUAAAACCAAUCUGAGAGAAAUUAACUCUCCCCAUGUUACCCACCACGUUGUUGUGGUAGAGAACAAUGCGGCGACUCUUCUUCUAUGAUAAAAACCAACUAUGUCCGGAUUCCCGAUCCCUCCAUGCCGGAUUCCCGCGGGGGGAUGGACGCUAAUCAAAUACUGAACCUAAAGUCAGGCAUCGGAUCAGAUUUGUUGGAAAGCAUCCAGCAAACCAAGCUUCCGAAUCCGGAAGCUUCUUGGCCUUUGAGCCUUAGAUCGGGCGGGGUUCGGAACUUAAUUCCACCCGCCCACCCAAACAUAAGCGAUCUAUCUCAAAUACGGCAAGAGCCUGAUAAAACAGUACAUCAUUACUGGGCCAGAUUCCUCCUGGUUAUGAACAGGAUAAAGGACUGCCGUGAAGAAAGCGUGAUUUCAAUUUUCUGCAACAAUUGCACGGACAAGGGAAUCAUAAAUGCCAUCAGUCGUCGUGAAGUUACACGCUUCGCCGACCUAACAACCAUUGUACAAAAAUACUGCGCGAUGGAGAGUGCCUGGAAAACUGAAACUAGGUUUUGGGACAAUCCGGCCCUGAAUACAACCCCAGUCCGAAAUAAAAGGGUGCGUCAUACUCAAGCACCUGGGUUAAAAACCAACAAGCAAAAACCCCCUAAAGGGUACGGAACCGUACUGGAGGGAUGGCUCAACGGACCCUGCAAAAUCCACAGCACGGAGGGCGCCACUCCAACACAUAGCCUCCGAGCAUGUUGGAUACUACGACGGGUGGCCAAAAGUGGUGAAGGCUUUUUAGCCCCGGGCAACCAGCCCAGUAGUACGAGUACGGUAUUAACAGUCUUCGAGACUUUCGCAUCAAAUAACAUGCGGAAACGAACAAUCCGCAGCCUCGCCGAAGUCUACCAAGUAGCAACAACAAAUCCAUGGAGCGACACGGCUAUCACCUUCAAUGCCAGCGACGAACCUAAAUUCCGAACAGCUAGAGCACCAGCCGCAUUGGUCCUCAGUCCGAUAGUGGACGGCUUUCGUCUUACCAAGGUACUCAUGGAUGACAGCAGCGGAUUAAACCUCAUCUACGAGGAAACCCUUCAAAAAAGGGAAAUUGACUGGAGCCGCAUUGAGCGAAGCAGCACAACCUUCAGGGGAAUAAUCCCUAGUCGAGAAGUACGCUGCACAGGAAAAAUCACACUAGAUGUAGUGUUCGGCUCGCCGGACAAUUACAGGUCUGAAGAGGUCACGUUCCAAGUGGCCCCAUUCGGCAGCGGAUACCACGCUUUGUUAGGGCGAGAGGCAUUCACAAUCUUCCAAGCUAUACCCCAUUACGGGUACAUGAAGCUCAAAAUGCUAGGACCCAAUGGAAUAAUCACUCUCGCCAGUGAUCCAGAUACAGCACUCCGCGCUGAAAAUAGGACAGCCGCACUGGCCCUAGAGGCAUUAUCCGAAGCUCUAGCGGCAGAGGAACUAACUGCGCUGCGCUCCACGGUGGAUAGGGACGAUGUGAUACUCGAUAAGAGGUCCAAGUCCACCUUUUUUAAACCAGCAGACGAAAUAGUCAAAUUUCAGGUCCAUCCAACGGACCCCACAAAGAUGGCCUCCAUUGGGGCACAAUUAAAUCCUAAUGUAGAAGCCGCACUACGAGAAUUCCUCCGGGAAAAUUGGGACAUUUUUGCCUGGCACCCUUCAGACAUGCCAGGAAUGCCACGCAGGCUGGCAGAGAACAGCCUAAAUAUCCUAAAAGGAUUCAAGCCAGUCAAACAAGCUCUUCGGCGAUUUUCCGAACCCAAAAGACAGGCAAUGGGAGAGGAGCUAGCCAAACUCUUAGAAGCCGGAUUCAUCAGAGAUAUAAAACAUCCGGACUGGCUAGACAACCUAGUAAUGGUACCAAAAAAGGACAAAUCCUGGCGCCUCUGCGUCGAUUUCAAAGACCUUAACAAGGCCUGUCCAAAGGACCCUUUCCCUCUCCCUCGCAUCGACCAAAUCAUCGAUGCUACCGCAGGGCACGAUUCAUUGUGCUUCCUCGAUGCAUACUCCGGAUACCAUCAAAUCAAGAUGGCGGAAAAAGACCAGGCCGCAACGGCAUUCAUUACUCCAUAUGGGCCAUUCUGCUUCAACAUAAUGCCCUUCGGACUCAAAAACGCCGGCGCAACAUAUCAGUGCAUGAUUCAGACAUGUCUGGCUACCCAAAUAGGCAAAACAGUAGAGGCAUAAGUAGACGAUGUGGUCGUCAAGACCAAACACGUCGAAACUUUAGUAGACGACUUGAGGGUGACAUUCGACAACCUCCGAGCAUAUGACAUUAAGCUCAAACCGGAAAAAUGUGUCUUCGGAGUACCAGCCGGAAAGCUCUUGGGCUUCAUUGUAUCCGGUAGAGGAAUUGAAGCAAACCCAGCCAAGAUCCGAGCUCUGUCACAAUUGGAUAUUCCAAAGGUGUCGGGGGUUGGAUACGACAUACGCCAAAGGAUGGCUUAUCAUGGUGGGAGCGAGUAGAACGUCGCCGGUGCCUGGAAGCGGGAUGAGGCGAAGACAUGCACGCCGGCGGAACUUACCCAGCUUCAGGGCUCUCCUAGGAGAUAACACCCCUACUGUUGCUCUGCGGGGUCUCCGCAUGAUCACUAAGGCAAGGUGACUACAAUGGUGCUCCUGGAGCUGUUUCGGGAGGCAGGAGAGGGCAAGGCUAGCUCUCUCCUCCCUGUGCUAUCUGGUCUAUCUCUAUUCAGGUCUGAACCCUUUGCAUGGGUGCCCCGGGGGGUUUAUAUAGGCCUACCCCCCAGGGGUACAAUAGUAAUCCGGCUGGGCGCGGGUCCCAGCCGUCUGUCUCUCAGGCCACCGUCCUUCCCGCCGGCUUCUGGGGCCCGCCGACUGGCGGGUCCCGCGGACAGGCAUGAUAUUGUAGCGGCACUUCUGAUGACACAGGCUCGGUCAUUGGGUCGUGGCAACAGUGCCGCCGUCUAUCGGGUGAUCACUGUCGCCAUUCCCCAUCCUAUCUGGUUAAUGGCUCGUGGGGCCCUGGGGAGGAGUCGGCCGACUCCAGGGAGGCCGACUCCCACAGGUCCGUCUUCGGGGCGCCCAGGACGCCUUCGGCCCACCCACUGACAGGUGGCCCCGCCGCCUUCGGGUCGUACAGGCCGGCGUCAUGGGCACAGUGUACGGCGCACUGUGGCUGAGGUCAGGGCAGGCAUGGCAACAGUGCCGCGCCUCACCGGAGAUCUUCCAGCGAUACGACUCACUGUAGCCAUGCCGGCCCUUCGUAAGCAGGGGGGAACGACCACGUCGUGACCAUACCCCGCAUCGUACUUCGUGAUGAGGGAGGAGUCAUGGGCCGACUCUCCAGAGUCGGCCUCUCUGGAGGUCGCCAGCUUGGAGUCGGCUUAUCUUGGAGUCGCCGUCUAGGACUCGGCUUGUCUUGGGGUCGCCGUCUGGGACUCGGCCUAAGGGGCGCGGCCUGCCCCGAUGUCCUGAAAGGUCCUGGGACACGGGUUAGCCUACCCGUGGCCCAUUACUCCGACAGUAGUCCCCGAAGCUGGUGGAGCCCUGCAGAUGCUGCAUUGUGGGGCUUCAACAGUUUCAACCUUCCAGGAGCGGACUCUGGAACUCGGCUGCCAUCUUCCCUUGGGCCGACUGUCGAGAGUCAGAUGUUUAGCAAAGAGCCGUAGCUCGAAAGUCGCGGCGGGAAAUCAGGCGGCGUGCCUGAUAUGCUUCCCCGCAGCCAUCAGGGCGGUCCAAUCACGUGGCGCCACGUGGAGAGGACAGUCUGCCUGCCCACACGCGUGAUGGGACGGGCCGUCAGGCGGGGCCCGCCACUACCGUGCCUCGGCAUACGAACGAAUCCGUUGCGGCCAUGGACGGUUGGUUUUCCCACGUCGUUAUUGCACGUAGUAACUUCGUGGGGUAAAUCAUGGGGCGGCGUGGGGCAUCGUGCGCAGUUAAUCCCACNNNNNNNNNNNNNNNNNNNNNNNNNNNNNNNNNNNNNNNNNNNNNNNNNNNNNNNNNNNNNNNNNNNNNNNNNNNNNNNNNNNNNNNNNNNNNNNNNNNNNNNNNNNNNNNNNNNNNNNNNNNNNNNNNNNNNNNNNNNNNNNNNNNNNNNNNNNNNNNNNNNNNNNNNNNNNNNNNNNNNNNNNNNNNNNNNNNNNNNNNNNNNNNNNNNNNNNNNNNNNNNNNNNNNNNNNNNNNNNNNNNNNNNNNNNNNNNNNNNNNNNNNNNNNNNNNNNNNNNNNNNNNNNNNNNNNNNNNNNNNNNNNNNNNNNNNNNNNNNNNNNNNNNNNGCCUUCUCUCCCUCCUGCCUCCGCCGUCGAGCAAGAACACUCCACAGCACGGCGAUGAGCUCUUCCUCCGCCGCGGCCCCCGCCGUGCGCUCCGGCGUGUGGGACGGCUCGGAGGUAGAAGAAGAACACAUCGAGUUCCUCCACCGGACACGCCGUCUCCCCAGCGCGGACCUUGUGCGCGCCCGCGCCGCGUCGGAGGGGGAGAUUCGGCCGGCGCCGGAGGAGGGCGAGCGGUUCAUCUUCCGCUCGCACCUCAUGCGCGGCCUGGGGCUGCCGGCAAGCGGCUUCUUCCGCUCGUUCUUGGAGUUCCACAGCCUUCAACCGCACCACCUCACUUCAAACACGGUGGUGUUGCUCUCCGCCUUCGCCACUCUGUGCGAAGGUUUCCUCGGCGUUCUCCCCACCAUCAAGUUGUGGGGAGAAUUCUUCUCUUCUAAGCUCGGCACGCACGUCGCCGGCGUGCCGGCUCAGUGCGGCGCCUACAUCACGGUGCGGCGCUCAACGGCCGACAACCCCUUUCCUCCCAUCACGCUGAUCAAGUCGGAGAAGAUGUGGCAGCGCUCAUACUUCUACGUGAAGAACCUCGCUUCCGAGGGCGACUGGGUCAACCUGUCGCCUUACAACGCCGCCCCCCUAACUGGGAGGCUCCCCAGCUGGUCUCACCGAGUCAAGUCGCUGACUCUCGCCGGAGCCGCCGCCGUAGCGCGACUCCGAGUCUUGAUACAGUCGGAGGGUCUCGUCGGGGCCGACUUGCUGGCCGCCUUCGUGGCGCGUCGAGUUCUCCCGCUCCAAGGUUGGCCUCACCUGAUCUGUCAGAUGAGCGGCCUCCGAGACCCAAGUCGGAUGAGCACCAAGGAGAUGCCCCGCAAGGAGGUGGCGAACUUGGUGAACCAUAUCGCGCACUGCGAGUUCGAGGAGGACUGGAAGUUCGGCAAGGAGCCGUACUCGCGCGACAACCCCCACCAGUGGUAAGUCGCGUCUCCUUAUUGUUUUGUCUUCUUUGCGGCCGACUCCGGCUUCUGACUCUUGUCGGUUUCUUCUGAGCCAGAAUCCUCUUAUGCAGCCCGUAGCCGACGCCACGAGACAGCCCCGCGAGUAUGUUCCCGACCGUGCGGAGAGCAACGUCGACGAUCCCGACUUGGGGGCGGCGGCGAUGGAAGCCGACGCAGAAGGCGGGGGAGAGGGAGCGGAAGGCGACUUCAGGCCCUCGGCCACCUUCGUCGACUGGCCUGACGAUGACGCCGAAGGGGAGGUCGCCCCGUGCCACCAGCCUAAGGUCGGUUCCUCCGCCGGCCAAGGCGGUUUGAAGAGGCGUCACGCCGGGCCGAGUGCGCCUGGUGGCAAGUUGAAGAAGAUAAAGGGGGCGGCUGCUGCGACUAGACGGGAGGAGGCGGCCGCGAAGGCCAACCGCUUCCGAAGGGAAGUGAGAAGGCCGCCGUUAGUCUCUGCGUAAGUCUUUACGCUUUUUUAUUUCCUUUGUUGAAUCUUGUCCGAGUUUUCUUUUAUGCUCCCUCUGUUCUUCUUCAGGGCCCCUCUUUCCCUUGAGAGAGUCGCCGUCCCCUCCGUCAUGGGGUUGGCAGAGACGUCCGCCAAUUCUUCUCCGUAAGAUCCUGCAUAAUAAAUGAUUCUUAAAUCAGUUAUUUUAACUAUUUUAAGUCUCGGGGGCUACUGGCAUAUAUAACUAUUAAAAUUAAUUACCCAUAUGUCCUUCACAUACUGCUCCGUGGCUCUGGUUAAACCAUCUCGAGCGGCACGGAGGUGCGCGUCUCCCGCUUCAAAGGCAUUCAAUGCCUCCGGGGAGAAACACGCGUCACGAAGAACUGUCCGGCGACGCCUAUGAUUCAUGGCGCUCUCCACCUCAGACCGGGUGGCAGAUAGCCUGUCGGCAUCCUCCGUCGGAGGAACAUCCGGCUCAUGCCUUGUGUUCGCCUCCCCUUCCGGACCACGCGAUGGAGCAUGGCUAGCGGAGGCUUGAUUGGCAACCUCUCCGGACACUGUCCGGCGAGCGCUCUUUCUCCUGGAAAAGUUAUGAGCAUUAAUAUACCUCCUAGGGAUCCUUCCCUUAAAAACAACGGUGAGCCGUACCGUUGCGGCGACGUUUCGAUUCGCGUCGCACUCCUCUCCCUUGUACAAGCCGGACAGGAUCUUUGCCAGAUCGGCUGCCGAGCCCGGCCCUCUGCGGCCAUGACGGGUGGCGUCGUAUUCCCCGUUGAAAUCCCACAUAGGGUGGCCCCUAUAUUGGAGUGGCUGCACCCCUCGCAUAAUGCACGUGGCCAUGAUUCCAAUCAUGGUCAAUCCGGAGUGGGCCAGUAACCUAAUCCAGCCCAUCAGAUAAUGGGCGCUCCCAUCAUCCUCUCGUUGAGGGCUCCGUGGGCGCCAACUCAGGCGUUUCUUCAAGGGAGCAUUGCUGAACUCCGGGAGGCCUAUCCGAACUGGAUCCGGCAGAGGAGCGUCCUCCAUGUAGAACCAUUCCGAAGGCCAGUCUUCGGACGCCUUCUUCGGGGUGCCGGAUAGAUAUCCGGUCCCGGCGAUGCGCCAUAUUUCGGCUCCACCCACUUGAUAUAUUGACCCCUCGUAAGAAUGGGGUACGAGGCAAAACAAUCUCUUCCACAGCGCAAAAUGGGGCUCGAUGCCAAGAACAGCUCGCAAAGAGCUACAAAGCCCGCGAUGUGCAAAAUGGAGGCAGGUGUGAGGUGGUGAAGCUGGAGUCCAUAGAACUCCAGGAGCCCCCGGAGAAAUGGAUGUAUGGGAAAUCCGAGUCCCCUUAUCAGGUAAGGGACGAAGCAUACCCGCUCUCCUUUGGAAGGGUUGGGGAUGCUCUCCUCCUGCUUUCCACCCCUGAAGGUGGCCAGUCCGGCUCGAACCGGAACCAUGAAAGCUGGGGGAAGAUAUCCCUCGGUUUGGAGCGCCACUAGCUCGCUGUGUGGAACUGAGCAUCUCCCCCAAUCUCCUGGCUUAGGGCUGGGAGCGCGAGAGGAGGAGCCGCAUCGACUAUCCAUGAUAGAAUGGAUUUUUGUCAGAGGCGCUUCGAUGAGAACUUGCGGAUGGAGGAUGGUGUGAGCUGGAUCUAGAUCCUCGCCUCUCUUAUAGGCGGCUCGUUCGCACGGCUGGGGGGUAAAAUGUAAAAAUACCCUAGCUUUUCGCAUUCAUAUGACACGUGGAAGAAGGCCAUUAUUGGGCAUAGAAGCUAAGGAGCGCAACAUUUAUAAGGAAGCCGGACACUAUUCGACAGGAACAUGAAGUUUGAAGGAGAACCCGCCUUGCAACGCCGAAGACAAUAUAUGCGCCGGACUCGUCGUCGCUGAAGCCUGGUUCGGGGGCUAUUGAGGGAGUUCCGGACUAGGGGGUGUCCGGAUAGCCGAACUAUCAUCAUCGACCGGACUCCAAGACUAUGAAGAUACAAGAUUGAAGACUUCGUCCCGUGUCCGGAUGGGACUUUCCUUGGCGUGGAAGGCAAGCUUAGCCCUCUCCGGUGUCUAUAUAAACCGGAUGGCUUUAGUCCAUAGGACGAACAACAAUCAUACCAUAGGCUAGCUUCUAGGGUUUAGCCUCCUUGAUCUCGUGGUAGAUCCACUCUUGUAACACACAUCAUCAAUAUUAAUCAAGCAGGACGUAGGGUUUUACCUCCAUCAAGAGGGCCUGAACCUAGGUAAAACAUCGUGUCCCUUGUCUCCUGUUACCAUCCGCCUAGACGCACAGUUCGGGACCCCCUACCCGAGAUCCGCCGAUUUUGACACCGACACUCGGUUUUAAAAUAGAGAUUGAAUAACAUUUUGAGAGGCAUACUUUUGCUGUCAACGCAACAAGUAUGAGAUGAUGAUAUCUUCCAUGCUAAACAAAUUAUAGGCGGUUCCCAAACAGAAUGGUAAAGUUUAUACUCCCCCUCCUCCACAGGCAUCAUUCCAUGGCUUGCUCGAAACAACGAGUGCCUCCAACAUUCAACGGGUCCUAUGGGGAGUUUUGUUUGCAAUUAUUUUGAUUUUGUUUGCAUAAAGCAUGUGACUAGGCAUCCCGGUGACCAGCCAUUUUCUCGUGAAUGAGGAGCGGAGUCCACUCCUCUUGAGAAUAACCGCCUAAUAUGGAAGAUAAGGGCAGCCCUAGUUGAGACAUGAGCUGCUCGAGCAUACAAAACAGAAUUUCAUUUGAAGGUUUGGACUUUGGCACAUACAAAUUUACUUGGAACGGUAGGUAAAUACCGCAUAUAGGUAGGUAUAGUGGACUCAUAUGGAACAACUUUGGGGUUUAAGGAGUUUGGAUGCACAAGCAGUAUUCCCGCUUAGUACAGGUGAAGGCUAGCAAAAGACUGGGAAGCGACCAACUAGGAGAGCGACAAUAGUCGUAAACAUGCAUUAAAAUUAAUUUACACCGAAUACAAGCAUGAGUAGGAUAUAAUCUACCAUGAACAUAAUAUCAUGAAGGCUAUGUUGAUUUGAUUCAACUACAUGCGUGAACAUGUGCCAAGUCUAGUCACUCAAUUCAUUUAAAGGAGGAUACCAUCCCAUCAUACCACAUCAUGAUCAUUCUAAUAGCAUGUUGGCACGCAAAGUAAACCAUUAUAACUCAUAGCUAAUCAAGCAUGGCACAAGCAACUAUAAUCUCUAAAUGUCAUUGCAAAUAUGCUUACUUCAUAAUAGCUAACUCAGGAACGCUGAAUCAUCAUAUUUACAAAAACAAGAGAGGUCGAGUUCAUACCAGCUUUCUCAUCCCAAUAAGUCCAUCAUAUACCAUCAUUAUUGCCUUUCACUUGCAUGACCGAACGAUGUGAAUAAUAAUAAGAGUGCACGUGCAUUGGACUAAGCUGGAAUCUGCAAGCAUUCAACAAACAGGAGAAGAAAAGUAAUAUGGGCUCUAAGUUAAAUAAACAAUCAUGCAUAUAAGAGCCACUUCAACAAUUUAAUCAUGGUCUUCUCCUACUGACCCCCAAAGAAAAGAAAAGAAAAGAAAUAAAAACUAUUUACACGGGAAAGCUCCCAACAAGCAAAAGAAGAACGGGAAAUAUUUUUGGGCUUUCCUUUUUAAUCCUACAAGAAAGAAAUAAACUACUACUAAUAUUUUUUUUUGUUUUUCUUAAGGUUUAUUAAACACACAAGAAGAAAGCAGGAAAAAGAAAGUAAGCUAGCAUGGAUAUUACAGUGAAAGAGUAUGAACACCGAUAUCUAGCAAUGAGUGUGUGUGAACAUGAAUGUAAUGUCGGUGAGAAAUAUGUACUCCCCCAAGCUUAGGCUUUUGGCCUAAGUUGGUCUAUUGCCAGGGAUGGCCUGGCGGAUACCCGUAGGUGAAGCUGAGGUCGUAUUGCGAUGCAGCGGCUAUCGCCUCAUGAGCUGCAGCGUAGUGUCGAUCUCCCUCCGCUCUCCUCUCGUACUCAUCUGCCUCCUCUCUGGUAAUAAUAUAUCUUCCUUUUGUCUGAGAAUCAAAGAAGGCAAGAGCAGGAAGAGUAAUAUGGACUGCAUGUCGUUUGUUAAAGAUUAGUCGAUACUGGAGUGGUGGUUCAGUCCUCUCAACAAACUAGUGGGAAACCAUAGAAUCAAAAUCCAAAUAAGUAGAGGGUAACUCCAUAUCACUCUCUCGAAUGUCUAUCUCAAGAAAAUUAGCUAAGCGGGUUGCAUAAAUCCCUCCAAAGAAAUCUCCGUUAUAUCUAUUAUGGUGCAACCUGCGAGCUACAAUGGCUCCCAUAUGAUAAGAUUGGUCUCCUAACACAGCACUUCUGAGAAUGCUGAGAUCAGGUGCACACAUGUGACAUGCUUCAUCCUUAGCAUUAAUGCUUCUACCUAUGAAGAGAGCAAAAUAAUGUAUAGCAUGGAAGUGAAUGCUCCCUAAAGUGGCUUGCGCUAUAUCUCUAGAUUCCCCCACAGUUAUUUUAGCAAGAAAGUCUCUAUAUUCAGAUUUAGGGGGAUCCCUGAUACUACCCCAAGAUGGAAGUUUGCAAGCAAAAUUGAAAUCCUCUAAGUCCAUGGUAUAAGAUUUGUCAUAAAGGUCAAACAUGACUGAAGGAGAAUUACGCGAAGAUGAAAACUCAAACCUCCUCACAAAUGAACUUGUGAGAUCACGGUACUGGGGGCAUUUAUCAGCUUCAAAGUCCUCAAGACCGGCAUUGCAUAUAUAUACGUUGAAUUCUUCUUUAGUUCCCGCUUGAUCCAUAAAAUUUUCCGAAGGCCAUUCACAGGGCCUAACAGGAGCGUCUCUUGGUGGUUCCUCGUCAGCAUCGCGUAUUGCAAGCCUGGGACCUUGUUUCCUUGAAGAGCCACCUUGGAACAUCCUCCUAAACAUAAUGUUUCCUCUAAAAAAAUUCUGAAAUUUUUAGUAACUUCAAAUAAAAGUGAACCAACUUCAAUAAAAUUGAUAGCAACUACUCCCACGAGUGCCUAGAGCCUAAAUCAAGCAUUAGAACUACUUGGGACCAUAUGAAUUUAACAUGCAAGCUCAAGAACAUGGUCACCCCUGCAGCAUAAAUUUGCAAUGAAUAGAGCACUAGAACAAAAACUAAUUGGACCAAUGGAGGAGUCACAUACCAAGGAACAAUCUCCCCAAGCAGUUUUGCGAGAGGUGCUUUGAGCAAGGAGAUCGAAAAUCACAGCAACCGGGGCUAGAACUCGUGCUUGAGUUGGUUUUUCGUGUUUGUGUGAGGCAGAUGAAGAAGAUGGGUGCAGGGAUAAGUGGAGGAGGGCCACCAUGGGCCCACGAGGCAGGGGGCGCGCCCUCCACCCUCGUGGCCAGGUGGCAGCUCCCCCCCGGUGAUUUUUGCACAGUAAAUUCUUAAAUAUUCCCAAAAAAAUCAUAUUAAAUUGGCAUGGCAUUCUGAGGACUUUAUUUUCGAGAUAUUUUUAUAUUACAUGGAUAAGUCAGGAGACAGACGGAAAAAUACUAUUUUACUUUAUUUCUAUUAAAUAACAGAAAAUAUAAAGAGGGUACAAAAGGUUGUGCUUCUAGUUUCAUCCAUCUCAUGCUCAUCAAAAAGAAUCCACUAACAAGGUUGAUCAAGUCUUGUUAACAAACUCAUUCCGAUUAGCAUGGAACCGGAGAAAUUUCGAAUAUCACUAUGUUACCUCAAUGGGGAUAUGGACAUCCCCAAUAAUAAGAAUAUUAUCUUUUUCUUGACAGUAGGGAGAGGAACUUCAAAACCUCCAAAUAUAAUCGAUGGAAUUUUUCCAAUAGAGUUGAUACUAUAAACCUGAGGAUGUUUCCUUGGAAAGUGUACCGUGUGCUCAUUGCCAUUAACAUGAAAAGUGACAUUGCCUUUGUUGCAAUCAAUAAAAUCCCCUGCAGUAUUAAGAAAAGGUCUUCCAAGAAUAAUAGACGUACUAUCAUCCUCGGGAAUAUCAAGAAUAACAAAGUCUGUUAAAAUAGUAAUGUUUGCAACCACAACAAGCACAUCCUCACAAAUACCGACAGGUAUAGCAGUUGAUUUAUCAGCAAAGAUAUUUCAGUAGGUGUCAACUUAUUCAAGUCAAGUCUACGAUAUAAAGAGAGAGGCAUACCACUAACACCGACUCGAAGAUCACAUAAAGCAGUUUUAGCAUAAUUUCUCUUAAUGGAGCAUGGUAUAGUAGGUACUCCGGGAUCUCCAAGUUCCUUUGGUAUUCCACCCUUAAAAGUAUAAUUAGCAAGCAUGGUGGAAAUUUCAGCUUCAGGUAUCUUUCUUUUAUUAGUAAUAAUAUCCUUCAUAUACUUAGCAUAAGGAUUUGUUUUGAGCACAUCGGUUAAUCGCAUACGCAAAAAGAUAGGUCUAAUCAUUUCAGCAAAGCGCUCAAAAUCCCCAUCAUCCUUUUUCUUGGAUGGUUUUGGAGGAAAAAGGCAUGGGUUUCUGAACCCAUGGUUCCCUUUCUUUACCAUGUUUCCUAGCAACGAAGUCUCUUUUAUCAUAACGUUGAUUCCUUGAUUGUGGGUUAUCAAGAUCAACAGCAGGUUCAACUUCUAUAUCAUUAUCAUUACUAGGUUGAGCAUUAUCAUGAACAUCAUCGUUAACAUUUUCACUAGGUUCAUGUUCAUUACUAGAUUGUGUUUCAGCAUCAGACAUGGAAAUAUCAUUUGGAUUCUCAGGUGACUCAGCAAUAGGUUCACUAGAAGUUUGCAAAGUCCUAUAAUUUUUCUUUUUCUUCCUUUUAGAAGAACUAGGUACAUCAAUAUCAUUUCUCUGAGAAUCUUGCUCGAUUCUCUUAGGGUGGCCUUCAAGAUACAAAGGUUCCUGAGUCAUUCUACCAGUUCUAGUAGCCACUCUAACAGCACAAUCAUUUUUCUUACUAUUCAUUUCAUCAAGCACCUCUUUUUGAGCUUCAAGUACUUGUUCUACUUGAGUGGUAACCAUAGAAGCAUGUUUGCUAACAAGUUUAAGUUCACCUCUAAUAUCAGCCAUAUAAUCACCCAAGCGUUUAAUCAUAUAAGCAUCUUUUUUAAUUGUCUACUAAAAUAAGCAUUAAAGUCAUCUUGCUUAAACAUAAAGUUAUCAAACUCAUCCAAGCAUUGACUAGCAAUUUUAGUAGGAGGUACUUCAGCUUUAUCAUAUCUAUAGAGAGAAUUUACCUUUACUACCUGUGUCGGGAUAUCAGGAUCAGGAGGUUCUUCAGUGAAUAAGGAAUUUAGAUCAUAUACUUCUUCAACAGGCGGUAAAUUAAGACCAUAUAUUUCUUCAAUAGGAGGUAAAUUCUUAAUAUCUUCAGCUUUAAUACCUUUUUCUUUCAUAGAUUUCUUUGCCUCUUGCAUAUCUUCGGGACUGAGAAAUAGAACACCUCUCUUCUUCGGAGUUGGUUUAGGAAUAGGCUCAAUAAUUGACUCAGAAAUUGGCUCAGGAGCUGGCUUGGGAGGUGCCCAAUUAUUUUCAUUUGUCAACAUAUUGUUCAAUAGAAUUUUAGCUUCAUUCGGUGUUCUUUCCCUGAAAAGAGAACCAACACAACUAUCCAGGUAAUCUCUGGAAGCAUCAGUUAGUCCAUUAUAAAAGAUAUCAAGUAUUUCAGGUUUCUUAAGAGGAUGAUCAGGCAAAGCAUUAAGUAACUUGAGAAGCCUCCCUCAAUCUUGUGGGAGACUCUCUUCUUUGAUUUGCACAAAGUUAUAUAUUUCCCUCAAGGCAGCUUGUUUCUUAUGAGCAGGGAAAUAUUUAGCAGAAAAGUAAUAGAUCAUAUCCUGGGGACUUUGCACACAACCAGGAUCAAGAGAAUUAAACCAUAUCUUAGCAUCACCCUUUAAUGAGAACGGAAAUAUUUUGAGUAAAUAAAGGUAGCGCGAUCUCUCAUUAUUAGUAAACAGGGCAGCUAUAUCAUUUAACUUAGUAAGAUGUGCCACAACAGUUUCAGAUUCAUAGCCAUAAAAAGGAUCAGAUUCAACCAAAGUAAUUAUAUCUGGAUCAACAGAAAAAUCAUAAUAAUCCUUAUCGGGAACACAACUAGGUGAAGUAGCAAAAGCAGGGUCGGGUCUCAUUCUGUCUCUAAAAGAUUCUUUACUCCAUUUAACUAGCAACCUCUUAAGUUCAUAUCUAUCCUGGCAAGCAAAAAUAGCUGCAGAAGAUUCUGCAUCAAAAAGAUAACCUUCAGGAAUAGCAGGCAUAUUUUCAUCAUCACUCUCAUCAUUGUAUUCAGGUGCAAUAAUUUCUCUUUCUCUAGACCUAGCAAUUUGCUCAUCAAGAAAUUCACCAAGAGGCACAAUAGUAUCAAGCAUAGGAGUAGUUUCAUCAUAAGUAUCAUGCAUAGCAGAAGUGGCAUCAUCAAUAACAUGCGACAUAUCAGAGUUCAUAGCAGUAGUAGGUUUAGGUGUCGCUAGCUUACUCAUAACAGAAGGUAAAUCAAGUGCAGAGUUAGAUGGCAGUUCCUUACCUCCCCUCGUAGUUGAGGGAUAAAUUGUUGUCUUAGCGUCUUUCAAGUUCUUCAUAGUGUCCAGCAGAUAUAAAUCCCAAGUAACUCAAGGAAUAGAGCUAUGCUCCCCGGCAACGGCGCCAGAAAAAGGUCUUGAUAACCCACAAGUAUAGGGGAUCGCAACAGUUUUCGAGGGUAGAGUAUUCAACCCAAAUUUAUUGAUUCGACACAAGGGGAGCCAAAGAAUAUUCUCAAGUAUUAGCAGCUGAGUUGUCAAUUCAACCACACCUGGAAACUUAGUAUCUGCAGUAAAGUGUUUAGUAGCAAAGUAAUAUGAUAGUGGUGGUAAUGGUAACAAAAGUAAAGACAGCAAAAGUAAUGCUUUUGGUAUUUUGUAGUGAUUGUAACAGUAGCAACGGAAAAGUAAAUAAGCGAGAACCAGUUUAUGGAAAACUCGUAGGCACCGGAUCAGUGAUGGAUAAUUAUGCCGGAUGUGGUUUGUCAUGUAACAGUUAUAACAUAGGAUGACACAGAACUAGCUCCAGUUCAUCAAUGUAAUGUAGGCAUGUAUUCCGAAUAUAGUCAUACAUGCUUAUGGAAAGAACUUGCAUGACAUCUUUUGUCCUACCCUCCUGUGGCAGCGGGGUCCUAUUGGAAACUAAGGGAUAUUAAGGCGUCCUUUUAAUAGAGAACCGAAACAAAGCAUUAGCACAUAGUGAAUACAUGAACUCCUCAAACUAUGGUCAUCACCGGGAGUGGUUCUGAUUAUUGUCACUUCGGGGUUGCCGGAUCAUAACACAUAGUAGGUGACUAUAGACUUGCAAGAUAGGAUCAAGAACUCACAUAUAUUCAUGAAAACAUAAUAGGUUCAGAUCUGAAAUCAUGGCACUCGGGCCCUAGUGACAAACAUUAAGCAUAGCAAAGUCAUAGCAACAUCAAUCUCAGAACAUAGUGGAUACUAGGGAUCAAACCCUAACAAAACUAACUCGAUUACAUGAUAAAUCUCAUCCAACCCAUCACCGUCCAGCAAGCCUACGAUGGAAUUACUCACGCACGGUGAUGAGCAUCAUGAAAUUGGUGAUGGAGGAUGGUUGACGAUGACGACGGCGACGAAUCCCCCUCUCUGGAGCCCCGAAUGGACUCCAGAUCAGCCCUCCCGAGAGAGAUUAGGGCUUGGCGGCGGCUCCGUAUCGUAAAACGCGAUGAUUUCUUCUCUCUUAUUUUUUUCUCCCCGAAAGCUAAUAUAUGGAGUUGGAGUUGGCGUCGGAGGGCCACCAGGGGGCCCACGAGGUAGGGGGGCGCGCCCUGGGGGGGGCGCCCCCCACCCUUGUGGACAGGGUGUGGCCCCCUGGUCUUCAUCUUUGGCAAGGAUUUUUUAUUAUUUAUUCUAACAUAUUCUGUGGAGUUUCAGGUCAUUCCGAGAACUUUUAUUUUCUGCACAUAAAACAACAUCAUGGCAAUUCUGCUGAAAACAGCGUCAGUCGGGUUAGUUCCAUUCAAAUCAUACAAGUUAGAGUCCAAAACAAGGGCAAAAGUGUUUGGAAAAGUAGAUACGACGGAGACGUAUCAAGGGAGCGCAUGGCAGCGCGCGUGACCGCGCAGGAUCAUCGGUUCCCAUGCAAGAUUCGCAAGCGUUGUGGUCCCGGGGCGGCACGUGGGGGGACAGGGGCGGCGGGAUGGNNNNNNNNNNNNNNNNNNNNNNNNNNNNNNNNNNNNNNNNNNNNNNNNNNNNNNNNNNNNNNNNNNNNNNNNNNNNNNNNNNNNNNNNNNNNNNNNNNNNNNNNNNNNNNNNNNNNNNNNNNNNNNNNNNNNNNNNNNNNNNNNNNNNNNNNNNNNNNNNNNNNNNNNNNNNNNNNNNNNNNNNNNNNNNNNNNNNNNNNNNNNNNNNNNNNNNNNNNNNNNNNNNNNNNNNNNNNNNNNNNNNNNNNNNNNNNNNNNNNNNNNNNNNNNNNNNNNNNNNNNNNNNNNNNGCACAUGCGCAACAUAGUCCUACAUGUAUGAAUCUCUUGGGAGAUUUGGUGUGUCGGGAGCGGCCGCACGAUCAUCAUUGCUUAUGCGGUGGGCCAGGGCAGCUUGCAUGGCUGACCGGUCGCGUGGCGAGGUUGUGAUCGCGGUGGGUUGCUGUUGUGAUACAUGGGCAGACGGGUGGGGGUAGGUACAUCCGUACAUGGACCAAGGAUGGACUCAGGUCGUGGGGGCAGUGGGGAGAAGGCAAAAGCAUUAUAACAAUGGGGGAAGCAAGCAUAGUGCGAUACGGCCAUUUCUAGCUGGUCAAAGAGAAAAAGGCGAAACCCUUCAAAGUCAAGGGACCCAAGUUUGAGAAUUUGAAAAUUGACUGGGCGGGAGGAGAUGCCGGAUUUGAAAAUGAGAUCAGUAACCUUGAUUGCGUGGAAAUCUUGUUUAACCGAAAAGUAGUGGUUUAGGGCGGACUCAAUUAGCAAUUCAUUUGGCCUAACACUAAUUGGUAAGAAGGUAAUCCAAAAGGGGUGCGAGUGAUGAGUGUAGUGCACAUGAGGUGGUGUCUGGUUAAGGUAAGCAGCAUUAAGCAUGCGGUAAAAAAAGCUAAAACUAGGCCGUUUUCGCCUCACCUUAGGCAGGUCGAGAGACAUGGACGCUGAAGGCAGUGAAGCAGCAACGACCGGCGAUGACGAGGGAGACAUGGAUCCGUACGGCGGGGACAUGGCAUCUCCAGGAAGUGGGCAUCGGGCAGCACCCAUGCGCAGGGGCCAGGGGAAGCGGAUCAGCAUGCCGCGCUUGCGGAAGUCACCCAUGGAGGCUAUCAACUUGGCAACGGCAGGCGAUGCGACGGUGAAGGAUAAGCAUGAGUCGCCGUCGUCAGUGGUGUUGAAGUGGUGGUAGCAGCCACCGAACAGGCGAGCGAGGAUGAGGGCCAUGGCCGUGUCGUUGAGGGUGAAUGGGAAUUGGAUGACACGCGCAUACAUGCAGCAACCGUGUGGUUGGCGGCCGAUGUCGAUGGUGACGUGUGAUCGGAGUUGUGACCAAGCCACAUCUUCGAACUGGAGCCCCAGGUCUUCAUGAAUUUGGAGCAGGCAGGCAAGCGACAUGCAGGAGGCCGUGGCCAAAGGUGGUGGUGGGAGAGGUGGCAGGGUUCUAGCGAAGGCGAAGGCGAAGUUGCGGUGGCAGACCUUGGACUGGUCGAGGAUGAUCUCCGCGAUGCGUGGGGAUGCCACGUGGAAGCGGAAGAUGAGAGGGGAGCACAUGGCGACGAAGAAGUUGGCAGCACUACCUCCAAGAGUACCCUGGAGUAGAGCAGCGACGACAAUGGUGUCGAGGUAGCGGUUGGAGAAGUCGAAGAUGGCGUAGAGGGGCGAUGCGAGGUGGAGCUCGGGGGUGGUGAUGUCGAGGCGAAGGUAACGGUUGCAGUCGUCCUCAAACUCGAGUCCCAUGGCGUUGCCGCAGCCGAGGAAGCAUCGAAGAGCUACCUGUCCGGCAUUGACGUAGAGCAAGUCGAAGAAGGCGGAUGGAGGUGGCGCGACCGUGGGGGUGAGCUCGUCCUUGGGGUGAGUGGUGAGGAUGAGAAGGGGUGGAGGCGUGGCCGUCGUGGUGAUGGCCGGGGCAGUCGGGGUGGUGGCGCGGCGGUGAUGGCCGGAGCGGUCGAAGGUGGUGAGAGAGGGAGGGGUGCGGGGAGAGGAGAGCCAUCCCAUCUGCACCAAAGUCCUGAUGAGAAUUGUGCAUUGCAGGCUUCCAAAAUAUCAGUGGCCUCAAGGCAAUCAGACUCGAUAAUCUAAGCCCAUCUCAAAAUAUCUUCAAAAUAUGGAGCGGCUUCUAGCACCGUAUGGUAAUACAAGGUGGGGCUUUUUUUGCAACAAUGGUGUGCGUUAUCUUUUCUUAUGGAUGCUCUCGCUGCCACAUAUCUGCUGGAGUUGUGAGAUGUUAACUGUUGUGUUCACCCUUUUUUUUAUUUGUGCCUAUUUUAUUUGUAUUUUAUAGCUGAAGUUUUGUGUUAGUUUAUUAUUGGUAAUUCUUUUUUUAGUUGCUCUAUAUUUUUUUUGGUUUUUUAUCUUUUAAACAAUAUUUCGUACUAAAAUCCUCAUGCUUGUUGUGUGCGUUUAAAUCACCAGAUCAAUUAUAAAAUUCACCGAAAGUACGAAGCAUCUCAUCAUAAUAAAAAUUACAUCUUGAUUCCAAGGCCAACGAACAACCACUGGUCGUCAUAACGAGCCGUCGAUGCACCGUUGUCGUCACUUCCCUACCAGAGUCGGCUUGGCUUUUUAUAGAUAACAACCGAAAGCCCUCGUGCACAUGCCCCUAAUGACUAGCGUCAUGAUGUCAUAGUUGUCGCCAUUGAACAAUUGCAUAGAUCCGAAGCACCCGACACAAUAUCUCCUCAUAAUUGGUUCUAACAAGAAGCUGACGUGUAUAAGUGAUAACCGUUCUCAACCACCUUUGUUCAACCCGCCACCGCCGCCGCAGGUCCGCCUCCUCUCCGGUGGCCCUAGGGCCAUGGGGCGCGGUGGAUCUUGGCAAGGACCGACGGGAGGGCUCCGUUUUUAGUUGUUUCUUUCAGUUUUGCUAGGGUUUGUGUCCUGCUCAGGAAGACGAGACGGCGGCGGCUCCCUGAAGAUGGAAUAAAGGUCUCCCCGCCUAGUCUCUGUUCCGGCGGCGCGUCUAGCAUCGUUGGUGGGCGUGUGGAGAUGUGUCUCCGGUGGAUCUAUCUUUGGUGGAUUUGCUCGGAUCUCGUCGUUGUUCGUCUACAUUCGUGUGUCUUCGAAUUGGAUCUUUUUGAUCUACGUUAUUCUUCAUCUGCGGCGGUUGCUGUUCUGGCGCGAUGGUCCUACGGGGCCUUAGCACGACGACUUCCCGACUGUCUACUAUAACAAGUUGUGCCCGAUUCCGGCGACGGAGGGGCGAUGACGGCGGCGCGCCUUCGGCUCGCUUCAGUGCUGGUAAUCGUCGCUAGAUGGUCUAUGAAUCUGGAUGUAAUUUUUAUUAUUUCUGGUAUUCGUUGUACUGCUAUGAUUGAAGAUGAAUAGAACGGAAAUUUUCUUGAAAAAAAACCCACAUUUGUUCAAGAUAGUUUAAAACUGCCUAAAAUAGGAUCAAAGGAUAAUGUAAAAUAGUUUAAAUAGUACAUUUUGAAACGGAAACAAUUUUAGAGUCCACGGUUGACGAAUGAUUCCGUGACAGCCAAAAUUGAUGGGUGUAUUUUCCCCUCAAUUUUGAAGCGUGUAGAUAAGGGGCCACCUCGUUAAAAAAUACGGCCAAUUGGGCUUAUACCUUGAUUGAAUACCAAUGCAAUUUUCUUUUUGGUUGCGCGUGGUCUGAUUGCUCCCGUGACGAAGUCUCAUCUGCACCUUUUUCUUGACAUUGACAUUGUCUGUUUUGAGGUUGCUUACCACAUGCACCAUGUCGUUCAUCUGCACCUUCUCGUGGAGUACUAGUGAACUCUUCCAGCACAGAGGCGCAUACGCAACCUUGUGGCCGAAGGAACAUGCGUAGUACAUUGCACAUACCUGAGACACUCCUAAAGAUCAGCGCAAGACCUUUUCAAGUCAAUGAUGCUUUUGGCGCCCUUUCGGCCAUGGGCGUUCCACUACACCCAGCAAUUGAAUUCGCACUGUACAUUAGGUCGUCUCCAUCCAUAUCUAUCCAUCUAUCUCCAGUCCAAACAUUUUUUUUACGGAAAUGUUAACGCCCACACGUGUGAGCGUUUGCACAUCGCCCACACGCCUCCAUCACCAUUCAUUUUGCCACGUAUGAAUAGAUAACAUUAGCAGAUUUUUUUUUGGUUUUCAGCUUAAAAAUGUUGUAUUUCCUAAAUAAAAAAGCGAACUAAAAAUCCGUUUCACCAUUAAAUCCGUCUCGACGAGAUCUUCAAAACUAGACCCCAUGUUGAUAUGUUUCGACGAUUUUUUUUUUGCCAGAAAUUGCCACGAUGUUUACACUGCAGUUGCCAUAGUUCUUAAACUAAAGAUGCCAUGUGGCAAUUUUAGUUUGUAGAUCAUGACAAUUUUAGUAUUUUGAUGAUGGCAACUUCAGUACUUUGACCAUGAAAAUUAUUUUUUGUAUGAACCAUGGCAAUUUUACGUGCAUGUAUCAUGGCAAUUUUAGUUUAUGGUUCAUGGCAAGUCUAGUUUCUUAAUUCCCCGUUUUAUAAAUGUUAAAAUUUAUUUUUAAAUGUAGAAGAAAAUAGCUGAAACAUAUCAUGGCAACUUCAGUAUAAACAUCAUGGCAAUUCAUAUGCAAUAGACAUGGCAACUUUUAAUUCAGAAAAAAUUUCAUCAAAACAUAUCAACAUGUGAUAUAGUUUCGAAGAUCUCAUCGUGAGGGAUUUAAUGGUGAAAACGGAUUUUCAAUCGGAUUUUUCGUUUAAGAGAUAAAAUAUUUUAAAAACUGAAAAUCCAAAAAAAUUCCUGCAUGCAUGCAUGCGAUGACGUGGCAAUCUGUUUACACUAGAAACGUGUGGUGCGUCUUCCUUCCUGCCACACGUGUAGCAGUUAGCGCGACCCUUUCUUUAUACGCCCAUCACUUGGGCAUUCCUUGUAGCGAAAGCUAGCGUCCCCGCGUGCGUGCUUACUCAUUUUCUCGAUUUUGCAAGGAUGAUCUUCUGGAGAUCAGUUCAGAGUUUUAGCAUAUUAGCAGUAUAAUAACCACUGUCAAGAGGUAGAACCGUUGGUCGUUCCGCGUCACAUCACACGAAUCGCGAUCACGGUGAUGAUGGCCUGUGAGACUAGCCCGGACAAGAAAGGACGGCCACCUUCCAACUCCAGAGGAACGCAUCAAACCAAAAGCAACUUCCUUCAAGUAGCAACCGCACGUACGUCUGGGUUUUAUAAUCGUAGCGUAUCAGCAGCAGAUUCCCAGCUUAGCGCCGGUUCACACUUCACGCCUCACCUUGCACCCGCGAUCGCCACAAAAAUCUCUCGGCUCAUUUCAUGGCUAGAACGAUCGGGAAAAAUCGGGCUGAUAUUUUGUGCUGUAUGGGUUGUCACGCGACGCAGGAUAUAUGCGGUGGGCGCGGGAUCCGCCCGCACUACGUAGCGCCUACGCGGCCGCCGACGGGGAUUUCCGGUAUGGGUGCCGUGCGGGCCCCGGCGACGGCACCGCAUGGGACGGGCCGCCUUUCCUUCUCCUGCCGCGCGAAAAGUUGGCGACGGCGACGGGUCGGAUGGGACGGGGGACGGCGUGAAGUCGAUCAACGCCAGCCAGCCAGAUAUAUCAUCGGAGACGGAGAUAGACAGAGAUUGUUUCAGGGAAAAUAUCAGCUCGCUCGUUGGAACAUACGUACACUGUAAUUUCCGUCGAUCGUAGCUGCAUCCCUAGCUUAGCUUCAUCCGGCCGGAAGAAUAAUGGUGCGUCGUGGAUUCUGAUUCACCGUCCACCGGGUAACAGUGAAUGAGAUCGUGGCGAUGAUGAUUGAGCGAGCCCAGGGUAAUGCUAAUAUUCUACUUUGACGCCUUUGCUGGUCUUUUCUAUGGAAAGGGAUUUGUGCUCUUUGACUGACCUUUUUCUCUGUGUGCCUUGUCCUGUGUGUAGGGAUAGAAGAAAAGCUUGGAAUCAGUGCUUCUUUGGUGGGGUUGGUGGUCGAAGAUACUCUGAAAUUUGACAGUAAAAUGGAUCGCGCUUGUGUUUGUUGAUCUGACCCUGGUGGUAUUUCUAGGCUCCGCGUGUCUGACCUAUGAACAAAUUAGAUGUAAUGCUCUGCUCUUUUUUUCUUUUAUAACAGCUGCUGCUGCCAGUGCUCACUGCUAAAGAGAAAUAAGUACAUAAUUUUUUUAGGGGUGGGAAAUAAAUACUUUUCAAGAUACAUAUUUUUUCUAUACAUUAUAAUCAUGUUUUAAACACGUUUAACAUUUUCUAACUAUAUGAUUGACAUUUUUUAAAUAGCUGUGUUGGAAAAAAAAUAUGUUCUGAAUUUGUAUUUCAAUGUGUGUUAAUUUUUUUCAAAUGUGUAGCUAACUUCGUUUUAAUGCUAUCAACAAUUAUGAUAACAUUUUUUUUUUACAAUUUGGUAACUUUUUCAUAUUCACAAUUGAUGAAAGGUGAAGUAGAUAUAAGUUUUGAAAUAUAUAUUUUUAGAAUAAUUAAAAAAUAUAUAAAUGAAAAAAAGGCGAACAGAAAAUCAAAGCUUAUGCUCGGUCUCAUUAUUGGGCCUUUCGACUAGUGAGUUCCUCGACGUGAGGCUGUGAGACAUAGCCGUUCCUCUAAAAAGCGACUCACAUGCGUAUUAGGAUCUGCAAAGCCAGGGCUCUUGUGUGUGUGCCUAUGGAAAACCCUAUUUAAGGCUCUCUGCAUCAAAGGGUUGACCAAACGCACAUGAGUGCGACCAAUUCGGCCGAACCAUCCCCCACAUUACGCAUAGUUGGGCAGUUCUGGUUUUGAGAACCUUCCAGGUUCACAGCUGGCUUUUCCGGGUUUUCGUACCUUCUAGAAGGUACCUCAUUUGGUUUUUCAUUUUAUAUUUUUCAUCUUAUCUGUUUUUUAUUUCCAUCCAAUUUUGUUGUCAUUUUAAAAUUUUAACAAAUUGUUCAAAUUAUUCAAAUUUGUUUGUGUUUCCAUAGUUUGUUUGGCAUUUAAUUUUUUUUGCACUUUAAAGAAAAUGAAGUUUAAAAAAUUGUACCAUUUUACAUAAAAUGUUUGAAGUUUUGGAAAAACUUUUUCAUUAUCAAUUUGUUCACCUACAAAAUAGUUCACAUUUCUAAAAAAAUCGGGAUGUUCCAUUUUUGAAAAGAUCUAUCUUUAAUUACAUAUAUCAUUUUUGAAAAAAUCGGGAUGUUCCAUUUUUGUAAAUGUUGUGAAAUUUUAGAAAUAAUCUAUCUUUAAUUACAUAUAUCAUUAUUUUGAAAAGAUGUUCCAUUUUUCGAGUUUUCUGACAAGUUCAAAAAAUGUUCACGCUUUCGGAAAAUGUUCGGGGAUUUGAAACUUUAUAUCAUAGUUUCAAGAGAUGAUGAGAAAUUUUAAAAAAUAUUCGUCACUUUACUAAAGUGUUAGAAAUUUGAAACAUUGUUUGCAAUUCUUUAAGUAAUGUUCAGUUUACGCCGCUAAAUUUAGUUCUUUAAAGUUCACUCUGCUCAUUUUGUCAACAACAUUCAAUAGCUGAAUUGGUUACCUAGAUGUAUGCACAAGGCGUAGGUCAGUGUUCGAAUCCCAGCUUGUGUGGCACAAUUUUUUUUGCGCAUUUUCGUUCGACAGCUCGUUUCACUUCACCUCGAAUGGGCACGCCCCUGUGCGAAAGGACGUCUAUUUACCACGAUAUAUAGCCCAGUCGUUUGGCGCGAGACUGGAGUAGCCCAGCUCCCGGGAGGCCCGACCUCAAUUUUCUCUCUGUUUUUUUUUCUGAUUUUACUUUUUUAUUUCUUCUUGUAUGCUUUCAAACAUUCUAAAUAUAUAUAUAUAUAUAUAUAUUACAAAAAAACUCUGCAUAAAAUAUUUGAAAAAUGUUAAUAUAGCAUUUGUAAUUGUUAAUUAUGUAUAGAAAAAAUAUUUUUCAUGUAUAUGAAAAAUGUAUACAGAAAAUACAAUGCGCAUGAAAAGUUUAUCAUGUAUUUAAAAACUUUUAAUCAAGCAUUUGAAAUUUUAAUCAUCUAUUUAAAAAUCUAAAUGAUUCUGAUGUAUACAACAAAUGCAGAACGUGUAUAAAAAUAUUAGAUGUAAAAACAUAUAUUUUAAAAAUGUUGAUCGCGUAUCAGAAAAAUGUUAAUCAUAUUUGAAAAAUUAAACUUGUAUAAUUUUUUUUUUGAUAUAUAUGAAAAAAGUAUCAUGUGUAUGAAUAAAGUAGUCAUCAAAUACAAAUAUUUGAUAAAAUGUUAGUCAUGUAUUUAAAAAAUGGUAAUCAUGGAAAAAUAUCUUCAUGAUGUAUAAGAAAAUUGUAGAACAUGUAUUGAAAAAUUUAAUAUAAAAUCAUAAAUUUGAAGAAUGGUGACCGCAUAAAAAAUGUUAAAUGUGUAUUUAAAAAUGUUCCUGAUAUAUACUGAAAGUGUACAAUACGUAUGAAAAAAGUUCUCAUCAAAAAAUAUUAUCAAAUAAUAUUAAAUAUUUGGUAAUCUUGUAUUUGUAGAAUAUUAAACCUAUAUAAAAAUGUUCCUGAUGUAUAUGUAAAAUGUACAGACAUGUAUGAAAAAUGUAUAUAUGUGUUAAGAAAAAAGGAAAAAAAAUAAAGAACACCGAAGAAACAGAUGAAAGAAGCAAAAGAAACAAGUUUGAAACAAAGAAAACAGAAAAGCCAAAAAAACUCUGAAAUCCAUGAGGAAACAAAAAGAAACACAAAGAACAAAGAAAAAUAUAAAAAAACGAAGACAAACGAAAAAAACUGUUGAAAUCUAAGAAAUAAACAAAAAACAGAAAGAAAAACAGAGAAAGAAACAAAAGCAAACCAUAGAGAAAAAGGAAACGAGAAAACCAAAGAAAAAUCACUGCAAACAAAAUAAAAGCUAAGGAAGAAACAAAAUAAACCAAAAAGGAAAUAAUAAGAAAAAAAUAAAAUCAGUUAAGAAAUUUUUUGAAGAAAUUACAAACAAAACAGGAAAACAAAGAAAACCAAAGAACAAACCCACACACAGAAAAGAAAACGCGAACGAAAACUCAGUGAACUCGAAGGAAACCCAGCGAAUGAAAAAAAAACAACGUAAAAUGGCCGGGCUGGUAGCUACAACAUGGGGACGAAGCUUUAGGCGAGGCAGAAGGAUCACUCGCCCUAAGUGAGAAAUAGCUCCCGUGACCUCUUGUCGAAAAUCAUUAUUUGAGGAGCUAACUGAGGAGUACUCGUUGCGGGGCUCCCGUAAGGGUCACUUUUGGUGGGCCGAGAGUGCGCAACUUGGCGUUGUGGCGCACUCUCAGCCACUGCCACAUGUCGCGUGUUGCGCGCUCUAUCGGGAUUUUUUUUCUAUAUGUGUUUUUUGGUUUUAGAUGAUUUUUUGUUUUUUCCUUUCAUUUUUUUUCGUUUUCCCUAUGUUUUUGGGGGAAAAAUGAUUUUUUUGCUUCAAAAAACUCAUUUCCUUUUUCCUUUGUUUUUGCAAGACACCCGGAUUUACUUCUUAUGGAGGCACAGAUUUGCUCCCCACGAGAGGCACAUCUAUGCCACUCAAAAAUGAUUUUUUUUUCUUUUCUAUUUUGCUUUCGCGAGAGGAACAAAUUUACUUCUCGUGGAGCAUUGUUUUAGCUUCCGCGAGAUGAACAAAUUUACUUCUCGUGGAGGCACUGUUUUAGCUUCCGCGAGAGGAACAAAUUUAGUUCUCGUGGAUGCACAAAUUUGCUUCCGCAAGGAGCACAACUGUGGCUCUCAGAAAAGGAAAAAAAUAUUUAUUUGUUUCUGCGAGAGGCAUAGUUUUACUUCACAUUAAGGCACGGAUUCACUUCUGCGAACUGUGCCUCUCGAAGAAGGUUUUUUCUUUCACGAGGGGCACAUAUUUGGUUCUUGUGGAGUCACAAUUUGUUUCCAUGAGAGGCUAAACGAUUUUUUUUUUCGUGAGAGGCACAUAUGCUACCCAUGGAGACACAAAUUUGCUUUCGCCAGAGACAAAGUUGUGGCUCUUCCAAAAGGGAAAAAAGGUGUAUAAGAAACCGUGCUUCAGGAUCGGGUUUUUUUCGGCCGUUUUUUUUUUUGAAAAAAGGUUAGUCGAAACCUAUCAAAAUGAGAUCUAGUUUCGAAGUUCUCAACAUGACAAAUCCAGCGACGAAAAGGUUCAAAAUUUAGACACACGGUUAAAUAGAUAAUAAAUAAAUUAAUCUACGAGAAAAGAGAAAACUUAUAGAUUGCGACAAGUUACGCACAACUUAAAAGGGUGAGAGUAACCGGUGCAAAGAGUUUUUCUUAAUUAGUGAUUUCUACUACUCUCUUGGCUAAAGCCCUAUCCACCUGAUUGAUCUAAUACUCAUCAGAUGGCGAAUCAACUUCCAAGCUUAUGACUCCCUCAAGAAAAGAAGAACUUCCAAGCUUAUGAGCCUUUUCUUCAAUAGAAAAGGAAAAAAGAAAGUUUAAGACCUUUACAAAAAAAAACUUCUAAGCUUAUGUACACAGAUGUUGCAUUCCUCACUUUGCAGCAAAUGACAAGACUAGGGUUCUAGUAAUUAAUAUGGGUCGAUAUUUUUUCCGAGAAUCCACUACCAACCAUCAUCGAUCCUAGUGGGACCCGUCUCCUCCCUAAACUCUGUAUAUUUAUGCAUGGGAAAACAUCACUAGAUCAUGCACGCUUCUGUCUGACUGCGUAUUCCUCCAUCAUCGCCAGUAUCAUGACUUACUGCGACAUUGCUGGCUGUUGAAUAUAUGUGUUAUGUAUAUAUUGUGUAUUUGGACCACCUCCUAGUUGCUUGUAUAGUUGAGGUCCGUGGUCCACCUUUAUACAUCAUAUAUAUGUGUCUAUGCACGAAGAGCAAUACAUCGUGCAAUUCCUAAAACCCACAUGAUAUCAGUUUUUUAGGUUUCGUUUCUCCCUUCCGCUCUGUCGCCGCCGCCGCCGCGCGUCUACCCGCUCCGCCGCCGCCGCCGCUCCAAGCCGCCGCCGCCCGCGCCCUCCUGUCGCGAUCCGCCGCCGCUGCUUCACUUCUCCAUGUGCUGCCGCCCGCGAUCCCAAGGCGCCAGCCGCCAACUGCAGCCGCCCCGUCCUGAGCCGCUGCUGCCGCUUUUUCUCCGUCCGCUGCUGCCACCCGUCCGGAGUGCCUCACGUACCGCUCGUCAGCGCGCCGCCCACCAGCCGCGUCACCUACCGCCAGCGCCUGGGCCUGGGCGCGCACGCUCGCGGUGGCCGGCUCUAGCCUUUUGGCGAAAGCGACGGUGCAAUUGGGGUGCGCGUCCUUGGAACCCAAUCAAGUCCCUGGAAUUCUUUAGUUGGGGCCUCGGAGCAAUGCUACACUUACGUAAAUAAUGUUACGUGUUUUACGUAAAGUGUAACGUGGCUAAUUAGUAUUCGAGAAGGGGGAGGAAGGGGCCCCACCCACCUGAAAAUCAGGGGGCCGAAGUUAAUUAGUUAGGCAGUUUACGUUAGUCUUCGUAGGCCUCACAGAUGUAGGAUUAUUGGGCCUAGUACGUGCAUGCGUACGUGCUGUACUACGCGUUCGUCCUGUCUUGUGUAAAAUUAAAGCAUCCAUCAUUCACGCCCGCUCGCCAGAUCGUCCGAGCCGCCCGAUGGCAUUCACCGGCCCGUCCGCCGCCGCCUCUACCGUCCCGCUGACGGCGCACUCUGCCGCGGCUCUGCCGCCGGUGUCCUACGGCGCGGCCCCGCCGUCGCUGGCGCUCUCCGGCCAGUCCUGCUACGGGCCCUCUGGCACUCCGCCGCAGGCGUCUUACGGCGCGGCCCCGCCACCUUCGGCACUCUCCGGUCAGUCCGUCGUCACCGCCUCUGCCCGUUGACCGCGUGCUGUUGCGCGGGGCGUUUGACGCGCCCGUUCCCACAUACGGGAAUCCUACGUACGGGGCUUCGCCCGUGUACGGGUCUCCCAGGUACUGGUGGGGGUCAUCAGCAGGCCAGCACUCGCAGCAGCCUGACGGCGCCCAGCACCUGCAGCAUCUGUCAGCGGGCCAACAGAUUUUUCCGGCGGGCCAUCCGGCCUACCCAGCACCGCAGUCGCAGCCGGGGCUACUACAUAUACCGUAUGGACAGUACCCACCGCUGCAACCGAGCGGCGGCUACGGCCUCCCCAUGGCGUCUUCGUCCCCCUCGCCGGCCCUGCCGCCGGAGCCCUGGGACCGGGUGCUCCUCCCCGCACUGCAUGCUGCUCCUACGCCGAAUAACUACACAGGAGGCGGUGAUUGGUACAUGGACACCGGUGCUACGGCUCACAUGUUUGCUCAUCCUGGUAACCUUGCCUCCUUCACUCCUGUCUCCACCGACCGCCGCAUCAUUGUCGGCGACGGUUCCACACUUCCUAUCACACACAUUGGGCACACUUCUUUUCCUUCUAGUUCUACUCCAUUAUCUUUGUCUAACAUACUUGUGUCACCUCAUCUUAUUAAUAAUCUCAUUUUUGUUCGUUGUUUCACUCGUGAAAAUCCUGUUACCGUGGAAUUUGACGAGCUUGGUUUUUGCGUCAAAGAUGCUCGAACCAGGAUGGUACUACACCGAUGUGACAGCCCCGACGAGCUCUAUCCGGUGCACUCGCCUUCAUCCACCACCACCGCACCGGUUGCUCUCUCCGCUGGAAUCGAUCUCUGGCACGCUCGAUUGGGUCAUCCCAACCCCAUCACACUUCGUCAUAUUCUUAAGUGUUUCAGUUUCAUUUGCAAUAAGAUCGAGGAUCACACUUGUCAUGCAUGUCGAGUCGGCAAACAUGUUCGUCUGCCGUUUAAUAAUUCCACCACCAUUGCUUCUUUUCCUUUUCAGUUGAUUCAUAGCGAUGUGUGGACCUCUCCUAUUCCCAGUAACUCGGGCUAUUUAUAUUAUCUGGUCAUUCUUGAUGAUUAUUCUCAUUAUGUGUGGACUUUUCCUUUACGCAGAAAGUCGGAUGCACUCUCUACCUUGACGGCUUUUUACUCCUAUUUCGCAUGCAGUUUGGGCGUCCCAUCCUUGCGCUUCAGACGGACAAUGGAAAAGAGUUCGACAACCUCGCUUUCCGCACCUUUUUGUCGCAUCACGGCACAGUCUUCCGUCUCACAUGCCCGUACACUUCACAGCAGAACGGUCGAGCUGAACGCGUCCUUCGCACUCUGAAUGACUGCGUUCGCACGCUCAUGUUUCAUGCCAACGUGCCGCCUCGUUUCUGGCCGGACGCACUCUCUGGCCGGACGCACUCUCCACUCCAUCACUUCUUAUUAACAUUAGACCCUGCCGCCCAUGGUGGAACUACGCACCUCGCCAUCUUAUCUUUGGUACGCCCCCGUCUUAUGACGACUUGCGUAUUUUUGGGUGCCUUUGCUAUCCCAGCACUGCCGACACUGCUUCUCACAAGCUUGCACCUCGAUCUGUCGCUUGCAUCUUCAUUGGCUACCCCUCUAACUCCAAGGGAUAUCGGUGCUAUGAUCCCGUCUCCCACCGUGUGUUCACCUCCUGGCACGUUUACUUUGAUGACCAUGUGUUUCUGUUUCAGCAGGUAUCCCCGGCUGUUCCUCCCGUCACUAGUGACGCGGGCGCCUCGACGCCCCUUCUGGGAGGUUCGCGCGCCGCCCUUGGCCCGUCCCUGGCUUUGAGGCGCGCCCCCCGUAUGCGGAGCCUCCUCCAGCCGCGGCGCUGGCACCCCUAGCGCCCCCGACGCUGGCGCCCGCGGCCCCCGCGGCUCCCCUAGCGCCCGCGGCCCCCUCGGUGUCGCCGGCGCCCUCGGCGCCUCCUCCAGCCGCGGUGCUGGCACCUCCGGCGCCCCCGACGUUGGUGCCNNNNNNNNNNNNNNNNNNNNNNNNNNNNNNNNNNNNNNNNNNNNNNNNNNNNNNNNNNNNNNNNNNNNNNNNNNNNNNNNNNNNNNNNNNNNNNNNNNNNNNNNNNNNNNNNNNNNNNNNNNNNNNNNNNNNNNNNNNNNNNNNNNNNNNNNNNNNNNNNNNNNNNNNNNNNNNNNNNNNNNNNNNNNNNNNNNNNNNNNNNNNNNNNNNNNNNNNNNNNNNNNNNNNNNNNNNNNNNNNNNNNNNNNNNNNNNNNNNNNNNNNNNNNNNNNNNNNNNNNNNNNNNNNNNNNNNNNNNNNNNNNNNNNNNNNNNNNNNNGCGGCCCCCUCGGCGCCCACUGUGCCCCCGGCGCCCGCGGCCCCCCUAGCGCCUGUGGCCGGUCCGGUCACCCGCGCCCGUACGGGCGUUUUUCGCCCGAGCUCGCGCUACGCCUCGGAUGACUACGUCCAUGCGGCGUCCACCUCUAAGCCGUCGCCGUUGCCCUCCUCCGUUCGAGCCGCUCUUCGUGACCCGCUCUGGAUGGCUGCUAUGCAAGAGGAGUUUGACGCCCUAUUGCGCAACUGGAUGUGGCAACUUGUUCCCCAUCCCCGGCACGCCAACGUGAUUACCGGGAAGUGGGUCUUUAAACACAAGCUCCGUCCUGAUGGUACCCUUGAUCGCUACAAAGCGCGUUGGGUCGUUCGUGGCUUCCGGCAGCGUGCUGGCAUCGACUUCACCGACACCUUUGCUCCAGUCAUCAAGCCGGGCACGAUACGCAUGGUUCUCCACCUUGCGGUCUCCCGUGCUUGACCGAUGCACCAGAUGGACGUCUCUAACACCUUCCUCCAUGGUCACCUCGAGGAGCAGGUCUUCUGCCAGCAGCCCACCGGGUUUGUUGACCCGAUGCAUUGAUGUCUACUACACAACCUUUUUCUUGUAGACGUUGUUGGGCCUGCAAGUGCACAGGUUUGUAGGACAGUAGCAAAUUUCCCUCAAGUGGAUGGCCUAAGGUUUAUCAAUCCGUAGGAGGCGUAGGAUGAAGAUGGUAUCUCUCAAACAACCCUACAACCAAAUAACAAAGAGUCUCUUGUGUCCCCAACACACCCAAUACAAUGCUAAAUUGUAUAUGUGCACUAGUUCGGCGAAGAGAUGAAGAUACAAGGGCAAAAUAGAUAGUAGAUAUUGGUUUUUGUAAUCUGAAAAUAUAAAAACAGCAAGGUAGUAAGCGAUAAAAGUGAGCGUAAGCGGUAUUGCAAUAAUAGGAAACAAGGCCUAGGAUUCAUACUUUCACUAGUGCAAGUUCUCUCAACAAUAAUAACAUAGAUAGAUCAUAUAACAAGCCCUCAACAUGCAACAAAGAGUCACUCCAAAGCCACUAAUAGCGGAGAACAAACGUAGAGAUUAUGGUAGGGUACAAAACCACCUCAAAGUUAUCCUUUCUAUUCUAUCUAUUCAAGAGUUCGUAGUAAAAUAACAUAAAGCUAUUCUUUCCGCUCAAUCCAUCAUAGAGUUCAUACUAGAAUAACACCUUAAGACACAAAUCAACCAAAACCCUAAUGUCACCUAGAUACUCCAUUGUCACCUCAAGUAUCCGUGGGCAUGAUCAUACGAUAUGCAUCACACAAUCUCAGAUUUAUCCAACCAACAUAAAAGUACUUCAAAGAGUGCCCCAAAGCUACUACCGGAGAGUCAAGAACGUGUGCCAACCCCUAUGCAUAGGUUCCCAAUGUCACGAAACCCGCAAGUUGAUCACCAAAACAUACAUCAAGUGGCACAUGAUAUCCCAUUGUCACCACAGAUAAUCACGGCAAGACAUACAUCAAGUGUUCUCAUAAAAGACUCAAUCCGAUAAGAUAAUUUCAAAGGGGAAACUCAAUUCAUCACAAGAAAGUAGAGGGGGAGAAACAUCAUAAGAUCCAACUACAAUAGCAAAGCUCGGGAUACAUCAAGAUCGUGCCAUAGAGGGAGCACGAGAGAGAACACGAGAGAGAGAGAGAGAGAGAGAGAGAGAGAGAGAGAGAGAGAGAGAGAGAGAUCAAACACAUAGCUACUGGUACAUACCCUCAGCCCCGAGGGUGAACUACUCCCUCCUCGUCAUGGAUAGUGCCAGGAUGAUGAAGAUGGCCUCCGGUGAUGGGAUCCCCUCCGGCAGGGCGCCGGAACAGGGUCCCGAUUGGUUUUUGGUGGCUACAAAAGCUUGCGACGGCGGAACUCCCGAUCUAUCUUCUGCUCUGAAAGUUUUAGGGUACAAGAGUAUAUAUGGGUGCAGGGGGUACGUCGGAGGAGCUACGGGGGCCCCACGAGGCAGGGGGGCGCGCCCUGGGGGGCACCCUCGUGGGCAGCCCGUAUCUCCCCUGACGUGCACUCCAAGUUCCCUGGGUUGCUUUCCUUCCAAAAAUAACUUCUCCAGUUGAUUUCGUUCUGUUUUGACUCCGUCUGAUAUUCCUUUUCCUCGAAACACUGAAAUAGGCAUAAAACAACAAAUCUGGGCUGGGCCUCCGGUUAAUAGGUUAGUCCCAAAAAUAAUAUAAAAGUGGAUAAUAAACCCCAAUAUUGCCUAAAACAGUAGAUAAAGUAGCAUGGAGCAAUAAAAAAUUAUAGAUACAUUGGAGACGUAUCAAGCAUCCCCAAGCUUAAUUCCUGCUCGUCCUCGAGUAGGUAAAUGAUAAAAAAGAAUUUUUGAUGGGGAGUGAUACUUUGGCAUAAUUUCAAUGUAAAUCUUCUUAAUUGUGGUAUGAAUAUUCAGAUCCAAAAGAUUCAAGACAAAAGUUCAUAUUGACAUAAAAGUAAUAAUACUUCAAGCAUACUAAUCAAAGCAAUCAUGUCUUCUCAAAAUAGCAUGGUUAAAGAAAAUUAUCCCUACAAAAUCAUAUAGUCUGGCUAUGCUCUAUCUUCAUCACACAAAGUAUUUAAUCAUGCACAACCCCGAUGAUGAGCCAAGCAAUUGUUUCAUACUUUAGUAAUCUCAAACUUUUUCAACUUUCACGCAAUACAUGAGCGUGAGCCAUGGAUAUAGCACUAUGGGUGGAAUAGAAUAUGAUGAUGGGGAUUGUGUGGAGAAGACAAAAAGGAGAAGAUAGUCUCACAUUAACUAGGCAUAUCAACGGGCUAUGGAGAUGCCCAUCAAUAGAUAUCAAUGUGAGUGAGUAGGGAUUGCCAUGCAACAGAUGCACUAGAGCUAUGAGUAUGUGAAAGCUCAACAAAAGAAACUAAGUGGGUGUGCAUCCAACUUGCUUGCUCACUAAGACCUAGGGCACUUUUGAGGAAGCCCAUCAUUGGAAUAUACAAGCCAAGUUCUAUAAUGAAGAAUUCCCACUAGUAUAUGAAAGUGACAACAUAUGAGACUCUCUUAUUACGAAGAUCGUGGUGCUACUUUGAAGCACAAGUGUGGUAAAAGGAUAGUAGCAUUGUCCCUUCUCUCUUUUUCUCUCAAUUUUUUUAUAAUUUUUUUUAUUUUGGUGGGCUUCUUUGGCCUCCUUUUUUUAUUUGGGCUUCUUUGGCCUCUUUUAUUUUUUUGUUUGGGCUUCUUUGGCCUCUUUUAUUUUUCAUAAAGUCCGGAGUCUCAUCCCGACUUAUGGGGGAAUCAUAGUCUCCAUCAUCCUUUCCUCACUGGGACAAUGCUCUAAUAAUGAUGAUCAUCACACUUUUAUUUUUUCUUACAACUCGAUACUAGAACAAAAUAUGACUCUAUAUGAAUGCCUCCGGCGGUGUACCGGGAUAUGCAAUGAAUCAAGAGUGACAUGUAUGAAAGAAUUAUGAACGGUGGCUUUGCCACAAAUACAAUGUCAACUACAUGUUCAUGCAAAAAGCAAUAUGACAAAAGUAAUGUGUGUCAUAUGAAUGGAACGGUGGAAAGUUGCAUGGCAAUAUAUCUCGGAAUGGCUAUGGAAAUGUCAUGAUAGGUAGGUAUGGUGGCUGUUUUGAGGAAGGUAUAUGGUGGGUGUAUUAUACCGGCGAAAAGUGCGCUGUAUUAGAGAGGCUAGCAAUGGUGGAAGGGUGAGAGUGCGUAUAAUCCAUGUACUCAACAUUAAUCAAAAGAACUCAUGCACUUGUUGCAGAAAUUUAGAAGUCAUCAAAAACCAAAGCACUAAACGCAUACUCCUAGGGGGGUAGAUUGGUAGGAAAAGACCAUCGCUCGUCCCCGACUGCCACUCAUAAGGAAGACAAUUAAUAAGUAAAAUUGUGCUCUGACUUCAUCACAAAGCGGUUCACCAUACGUGCAUGCUACGGGAAUCACAAACUUCAACACAAGCAUUCUUUAAAUUCAUAAUCACCCCAACUAGCAUUGCUUUGAUAUUAUCACCUCCAUAUCUCAAAACAAUUAUCAAGCAUCAAACUUAUCUUAGUAUUCAACGCACUCAAAAGAAAGUUUCACAUAUCUUGAAUACCAAGUAUAUUAACAUUAAGCAAAUUACCAUGCUAUUAAUGACUCUCAAAAUAAUCUAAGUGAAGCAUGAGAGAUCAAAAGUUUCUUUAAAACAAAUCCACCACCGUGCUCUAAGAUAUCUAAGUGAAGUACUAGAGCAAAAAAAACUACUCCAAAAGAUAUAAGUGAAGAUCAAUGAGUAGUCGAAUAAUUAUGCAACUAUGUGAAGGCUCUCCCAUUUAAUAAUUUCAGAUCUUGAUACUUUAUUCAAACAGCAAGCAAAGCUAAAGAAAACUACAUUGCAAGGGUAGCACAACUCAUGUGAAGAAGCAAAAACUUAGACUCAACCGAUACCAACCGAUAGUUGUUGAAGAAGAAAGGUGCUCGAGACUUCUUGGAAUAUUAUCUUGGGGUGCCUUGGGCAUCCCCAAUCUUGAACUUUUGUGUCUCCUUAAUUCCUCCCAUAUCAUGGUUUCUCUUUUUAUCAAAAGCUUCAUUCACAACAAACUCAACAAGAACUCGUGAGAUAGGUUAGUAUAAACCAAUGUAAAACCUUAUCAUCUUCUACUGUAACAAAUCACUAAAAUUAUUAUUCAAUAUUGAAUACUAAAUGUCUCUACAUAAUUAAUACUCCUAUCCUCAAAUAGAAUCAUUAAACAAGCAAACAUAUGCAAACAAUGCAACCAUAACAGCAAUCUGCCAAAACAGUACAGUCUGUAAAGAAUGCAAUAAUAUCAAUACUUCCCUGACUCCAAAAAUUAUGAACUAAAAUUCCCACUGUAAUAAAUUUAUCAGAUAUUAAUAUGCAAAAAUAUUAAACGUUAUACCAUUCUCUGACUUUUCUAGGGAAUUUUUGUAACAGCGGUAAACUUUCUGUUUUCAAACAGCAACAUGUAUACUAGCAAAAUAAGCAUGACAAAGGCUAUCCUUGAAUUUUUUAUUGAAACUAAAGAUGCAAAACAUUGUUCUAACUAACAGCAAGCAAAAACUAACAAAAGAAAAUGACGCUCCAAGCAAAACACAUAUCAUGUGGCGAAUAAAAAUAUAGCUCCAAGUAAAGUUACCGAUGAACGAAGACGAAAGAGAGGAUGCCUUCCGGGGCAUCCCCAAGCUUAGGCUCUUGGUUGUCCUUGGAUAUUACCUUGGGGUUCCUUGGGCAUCCCCAAGCUUAGGCUCUUUCCACUCCUUAUUCUAUAGUCCAUUGAAUCUUUACCCAAAACUUGAAAACUUCAACCACACAAAACUCAACACAAAACUCGUAAGCUCCGUUAGUAUAAGAAAAUAAAACCACCACUUAGGUACUGUAAUGAACUCAUUUUAAAUUCAUAUUGGUGUAAUAUCUACUGUAUUCCAACUUCUCUAUGGUUCAUACCUAAUACUAGCCAUAGAUGCAUCAAAAUAAGCAAACAACACAUAGAAAACAGAAUCUGUCAAAAACAGAACAGUAUGUAGUAAUCUGUAUAAAACGUAUACUUAUGGAACCCCAAAAAUUAUGAAAUAAAUUGCUGGACCUGGGCAAUUUGUCUAUUAAUCAUCUGCAAAAAGAAUUAACCUAAAAUCACUCUCCAGUAAACAAUGACAGCUAAUCUCGUGAGUGCUAAAGUUUCUGUUUUUCACAGCAAGAUCAUAUAAACUUCACCCAAGUCUUCCCAAAGGUUCUACUUGGCACUUUAUUGAAACAAAAGCUAUAAACAUGAUUACUACAGUAGCAUAAUCAUGUGGACAGAAAAAAACCAGUAAGGAUAAAUAUUGGGUUGUCUCCCAACAAGCGCUUUUCUUUAAUGCCUUUCUAGCUAGGCAUGAUGAUGACAAUGAUGCUCACAUAAAAGAUAAGAAUUGGAACAUAACGGGAGCACCAUGAAGCAUAUGACUAGCACAUUUAAGUCUAACCCACUUCCUAUGCAUAGGGAUUUUGUGAGCAAACAACUUAGGGGAACAAUAAUCAACAAGCAUAUGAAGGUAAAACAAGCAUAACUUUAAAAUUUUAAGCACAUAGAGAGGAGACUUGACAUUAUUGCAAUUCCUACAAGCAUAUGUUCCUCCCUCAUAAUAAUUUUCAGUAGUAUCAUGAAUGAAUUCAACAAUAUAACCAGCACCUAAAGCAUUCUUUUCAUGAUCUACAAGCAUAGAAAAUUUACUAUUCUCCACAUAAGCAAAAUUCUUCUCAUGAAUAGUAGUGGGAGCAAACUCGACAAAAUAACUAUCAUAUGAUUGAAAAUUAAGAUCAAGAUGACACGUUUUAUGGUUAUCAUUAUAAAUCAUAUGUGUCAUCACAAUAAUCAUCAUAAAUAGGAGGCAUGCUUUCAUCAUAGUAAAUUUGCUCAUCAAAGCUUGGGGGACAAAAAAUAUCAUCUCCAUCAAACAUAGCUUCCCCAAGCUUGUGGCUUUGCAUAUCAUUAGCAUCAUGGAUAUUCAGGGAAUUCAUACUAACAACUUUGCAAUCAUGCUCAUCUUUCACAUAUUUUAUGCCAAGAAUUCUAUGUAAUUCUUCUUCUAGUACUUGAGCACAAUUUUCCUUUCCAUCAUACUCACGAAAGAUAUUAAAAAGGUGAAGCGUAUGUGAUAAACUUAACUCCAUUUUUUUGUAAUUUUCUUUUAUAAACUAAACUAGUGCUAAAACAAGAAACAAAAAGAUUCGAUUGCAAGAUCUAAAGAUAUACCUUCAAGCACUCACCUCCCCAGCAACGGCGCCAGAAAAGAGCUUGAUGUCUACUACACAACCUUCUUCUUGUAGACGUUGUUGGGCCUGCAAGUGCACAGGUUUGUAGGACAGUAGCAAAUUUCCCUCAAGUGGAUUACCUAUGGUUUAUCACUCCGUAGGAGGCGCAGGAUGAAGAUGGCCUCUCUCAAACAACCCUGCAACCAAAUAACAAAGAGUCUCUUGUGUCCCCAACACACCCAAUACAAUGGUAAAUUGUAUAGGUGCACUAGUUCGGCGAAGACAUGAAGAUACAAGUGCAAAAUAGAUAGUAGAUAUAGGUUUUUGUAAUCUGAAAAUAUAAAAACAGCAAGGUAGUAAGCGAUAAAAGUGAGCGUAAACGGUAUUGCAAUGAUAGGAAACAAGGCCUAGGGUUCAUACUGUCACUAGUGCAAGUUCUCUUAACAAUCAUAACAUAGAUAGAUCAUAUAACAAGCCCUCGACAUGCAACAAAGAGUCACUCCAAAGCCACUAAUAACGGAGAACAAAUGUAGAGAUUAGGGUAGGGUACGAAACCACCUCAAAGUUAUCCUUUUUGUUCUAUCUAUUCAAGAGUUCGUAGUAAAAUAACAUAAAGCUAUUCUUUCGCUCAAUCCAUCAUAGAGUUCAUACUAGAAUAACACCUUAAGCCACAAAUCAACCAAAACCCUAAUGUCACCUAGAUACUCCAUUGUCACCUCAAGUAUCCGUGGGCAUGAUUAUACGAUAUGCAUCACACAAUCUCAGAUUUAUCCAACCAACAUAAAAGUACUUCAAAGAGUGCCCCAAAGCUACUACCGGAGAGUCAAGAGCGUGUGCCAACCCCUAUACAUAGGUUCCCAAUGUCACGAAACCCGCAAGUUGAUCACCAAAACAUACAUCAAGUGGCACAUGAUAUCCCAUUGUCACCACAGAUAAUCACGGCAAGACAUACAUCAAGUGUUCUCAUAAAACACUCAAUCCAAUAAGAUAACUUCAAAGGGGAAACUCAAUUCAUCACAAGAGACUAGAGGGGGAGAAACAUCAUAAGAUCCAACUACAAUAGCAAAGCUCGGGAUACAUCAAGGUCGUGCCAUAGAGGGAACACGAGAGAUAACAUGAGAGAGAGAGAUCAAACACAUAGCUACUGGUACAUACCCUCAGCCCCGAGGGUGAACUACUCCCUCCUCGUCAUGGAUAGCACCGGGAUGAUGAAGAUGGCCUCCGGUGAUGGGAUCCCCCUCCGACAGGGUGCCGGAACAGGGUUGUAAGGGCAUAUUUUUCCCUUAGGUGUUUUGGUGAUUGAUGACAAUGCAUUUGCGGACUAAUCGUGUUCCUUGAGUUUCUCAGGUUAUUCAUAUCUAGGCACGAGACGAUUCGGUGCCCCUCGGAGACUAUUGAAGUCGGCGUCGUUCUACGUUUCUCUUUGGUGGACUUGAGUCGUAGGAGAGCCGUACUAUUAAGAGGGGGUCCGCAUCGGAAAGGUUUGGGUGGAAUCAACACGUACACUUGUUCCUCCUUUCCCUGCAUUUUGGAGCUUCCCUUUGUUAUCUUGGUUGUGCGAAAAUCUGACGACUACUGCUGUGUUUGCGGUAGUACCGCAAGUACUCGCGGUAGUACCGCUGGGCGUCAUGGUAGUACCGCUCAUCUCGAGCGGUAGUACCGCGGCUCCUUGGCCUUGUGCCGCUCUGGUGCGGUAGUAGGGGCGGAUGUAAUUUUUUACAUCAGCGCCCUCCACGGUAGUAGCGCUCGUCCAGCGCGGUAGUACCGCGGAGGCCCACGGUAGUACCGCCCCCUAGGAGUCGUAGUACCGUGGCCCUCCUACCUAGUACCGCAGUGUCGCGAUAGUAGGCGCGGAUGUAAUUUUUUACAUCCGCGCCCGCAGGGUAGUACCGCGCCUCGCGGACGGUAGUACCGCGUCAGAUUUUUGUACCUCCUCCGGUUCAGCGGAAGUAGGCACGGAUGUAAUUUAUUUCAUCCACGCCCUUCCCAGGCUGUGAAUUUCCUGCCUUGCGGUAGUACCGCAGGUGGGUGCGGUAGUACCGCGCAAGCGGUAGUACUGCCCCCUUAUCGGGCUAGUUCCGGCCUGUGUUUCUGUUGCGGUAGUACUGUGGUUAGCCACGGUAGUACCGCGCAGCCGCGCGGUAGUACCGCUCCCCUGGAGCGGUAGUACCGUGUGUCACGGGCUGAACAUGUGGAUAACGGUUGGAUUUUGUCCACGACUAUAUAAGGGGCGUCUUCUACCUCUAGUUGACUACCUCUUCCAUCUCCAAGCUCCAUUGUUGCUCCAAGCUCCAUUUUCCACUCGAUCUCUCUCCCUAGCCAAUCAAACUUGUUGAUUUGCUCGGGAUUGGGUGACAAGUGCCCGAUCUACACUUCCACCACAGGAUAUUUGAUUCCCCCCACUUAUCCCUUGCGGAUCUUGUUACUCUUGGGUGUUGAGCACCCUAGACGGUUGAGGUUACCUCGAAGCCAUACUCCAUUGUGGUGAAGCUUCGCGGGAUUAUUGGGAGCCUCCAAGUGUUGUGGAGAUAGCCCCAAUCUUGUUUGUAAAGGUUCGGUUGCCGCCUUCAAGGGCUCCAAUAGUGGAAUCACGGCAUCUCGCAUUGUGUGAGGGCGUGAGGAGAUUACGGUGGCCCUAGUGGCUUCUUGGGGAGUAUUGUGCCUCCACACCGCUCUAACGGAGACGUACUUCCCCUUAAAAGGAAGGAACUUCGGUAACACAUCCUCAUCUCCACCGGCUCCACUCUUGGUUAUCUUAUCCCUUUACUUUCGCAAGCUUACUUGUGCUAUAUCCAUUGCUUGCUUGGGUGCUCAUUGUCUUUGCAUCAUAUAGGUUGUCCACUUAGUUGCACAUCUAGACAACCUAUUUCAUUGGAAGGUUUAAAUUGUUAAAGAAAAGUCAAAAAUUGUUAGUUGCCUAUUCACCCCCCCUCUAGUCAAUCAUAUCGAUACUUUCAAUUGGUAUCAGAGCCAGGUUUCUUUAUUAAGGACUUUGCCAUCCGAAGAGUAUGGUUGACGUCAACGACGGUGCGGAGGAACACUUCGGUGUGAAUCCCAUCUCGUCUUCGGUCGAAGGGGGAACCUCGGUCUCACGUGAGGAAUUCAAUGUGGCUUUAGACACAUUGAAAACCUCCAUGACGGCCGAGGUUAAAAGCAUGUUUACUGAAUUCCUAGAGGGACUCAAACUAUCUACCUCGCCGAUGAAAGUGGGUGAUCCCACUAACAAGGUAACGGAUGCUAACCCCGACAAGGGGGAAGCUAAUAGUGAAAAGAGUCCAUCUACUAGUGGUAGAAAUGGCACCGGCAUCUAUGCCCAUGUGGAACCCCCGGUGUAUAGAGGACCGAUUCCCUCUACGCAUUUGAAUCAUGCCGGUCCUCCUCCUAAAUAUGUGAAAAUGAAGAUUAUGAUUCUUGGUUUUAUCGCUUCAAGCGUCAUUUAAAACAUGUGAAUACUAACCUUUGGAGAAUUAUUGAAGAAGGUUUCUAUCCUCAUGAUCCAAGCAACUUCACCCCUCGAGAAGAAGUGGACAAUCAAUUCAAUGAGAGUGCUCUCUUCAUCAUCCAAGAUGCUAUCCUUCCCGAAGAUAUCCCUCAUCUUCGACCUCAUGUCAUGGCUAAAGAAGCAUGGAAGUGUGUCGAGCGUAUGUAUCGAGGAAGUGCUAGCAUUCAACGCUCCAACUAUGAAGUGGUGCAAGAUGAAGCCGAUGAGUUUGCAAUGAAAGAGGAUGGAGAACCUCGUGAGCUCUUUCGAAGAGUGACCAAACUUGCGGUCGCACUUUGAGAUCAUGGGAGCAAGGACACGGAUGACAACUGGAUCAAGCGCAAGUUCCUCAAGACCAUGAUGCCCUACAGCAAGGCCAUGUCCUCCGUCAUCCGCCAAAGACCGGACUUCCACUCCAUGACCUCUAGUGAAGUGUUGGAUGAGUUUGUUGCAAUGAACAUCUUGGAUAAGACCGCCGACAAUGCGGUGCUCCGUUCUCAAAGGGCAAAGAAGCCCAAUCUUGCCUUGAAGGCCAAGGUUAGUGUGGAAGAAGAAGAAGAGGAGGAAGAUGAGGAGAGCAACCCCGAGGACACGAAGUAUGAUUAUCAUGAGCACAUGGCUCUUGCCUCAAGACAGUUUUGGAGUAAGAAGACUACAAGACCCAACUUCAACAAGAACAACUCAAGUGGCCUCAAGGGGAAGCAAUGACUCAGAACUUGUUUCAACUGUGGCAAUGUCAGCCACUUCGUUGCAGAUUGUCCAUACGAGAAGCGGGAGGACAAUGGUGGCAAGUUCAUUCGAAAAGACAAAGCCAAGUCCUUCCCCAACAAGAACAACUUCACCAAGAAGACUCCUCCUCGCGGGUUGGUGGUUCAAGAAGAAUACCGUGAGGAUGACGAUAAUGAUGAAGAUGGUGAAACAAUGGCCAUGGCAUCCGUUGCCAUUGUCUCAACUCCUCGGGUGUCUCUCUUCGAUGCACCUAACGAGAACAUCACCGCCAAGUGCCUCAUGGCUAAGGCCACCAACAAGGUAACCCCCAACAUCAAAACCACCAUUAUUCCUAACCCUCCUUCAACGGAUGACUUUGAUAAUGGUAAGGGGUCUAAUGAGGAGAUCAAUGAAUUUGAGUCCUUCAUGAGUAAGCUCAAGGGCAAAUCCAAGAAGCAUUUCGUUGCUCUCUUGGAACAACUUGGUGAAGCCAAUGACAUGAUUGAGGCUCAUGAAGAAACCAUCACUAAGAUGGAAAGUCAUAGUCGUGACUAUGCCAAUGAGAUAUCGGAUCUCUCUAAUGCUCUUGAGGAAGAGCGUGGGCAUCGUUUGGCUCUUGAGGAGUCACACAACGAUGGUCAUGCUAAACUAAAGAAAGAUCUUGAUCAUGCUCUUGUUGUGUCUCGUGUUCUAGCUUCCGAGAAGGCUAAACUUGGGGUUGAUCAUGUUAGACUCACGGAGGAGUUUGAUGUACUUGACAAGGCCCACAAGGUCUUGAAAGGUGCUCAUGCCACCCUCAAGGAGUCUCAUGCUCAACUCCAAGUUAAGCUAACCAAGGAAAAGGCCACAUUUCCUCACAUGGUCUUAAUUGAUAAUGCAAAUGCUACUAACCCAUGUUGUGAGCAUGUGCAUCUUGUGGAGGAAAAUGCCAAGUUGAAGGAACAACUCGAGAAAGGUCUUGUGUCAUGCAUACAAGGCGAGAAGAACCUAAAUGACCUUUUGAGCAAUCAGAAGGAAGUUGUGGGCAAGGAGGGAGUUGGGUUCGCACCCAAGUCCAAAAACAAGAAGAAGAACAAGGAGAAGAAGAGCAAGACCAAUCGACCUCCUCCGCUCACGCAAACCUUUGUGAAGGAGGGAGAAGGUGCUCCUAAGGAGAAUAAGAACAAUGGGAAGAAUGGUAAAGCCAAAGAGCGCAACGCCAUCUCUCCCAACAAAGCCGGUGACUUUAACCCCUCUUAUGUGUUGUGCUGUGCUAGUGAUGGACAUGUUUAUGCUAAAUUUGUUGGUUCUCCUUAUGAGUACAUUGAAUGGUCUAUUUGGGUUCCUAAGACCCUUGUUACUAACAUCAAAGGACCCAUUACUCAAUGGGUACCUAAAACCAAGCAUUGAUCUCUUGUAGGUGUUUGCUUCCGGUGGGGGAUCAUGGUUGCUCGAUAGUGGAGCAACAAAUCAUAUGACCGGGAGCAAGGACUUGGUGGUGGACAUGCACAAUAUCCCAUCUAUGCCCACCAAUGUCGAAUGGGGUGAUGCCUCACAUUCUAAGGUAUUGGGUCUUGGCAAGGUUGUCAUUUCUCAUGAUCUAACGAUCGAGAAAGUCAUGCUUGUUGAGUCCCUUGCGUUCAAUUUACUUUCCGUUCGUCAACUCGCACUCAUGGGUUUUGCCACCUUCUUUGAUAUUGAUACCGUGGCCCUCUUGUGGAGCAAGACUCUUAAAGUAGCCUUUGUUGGGCAUGCCGAGAAUGGCCUCUAUGUGGUUAACUUCUCGGAGCAACCCACUAAGACCGCGACAUGCCUAAUGGCUAAAGUUGAUGUGGGAUGGCUUUGGCAUCGCCGUUUAGCCCACGUCAAUAUGAGAUCUUUGCAAAGCCUUCUCAAGGGGGACCAUGUUCAUGGACUAACGAAUGUUAGUUUUGCCAAAGAUCGUGUUUGCAGUGCUUGUAUCGAAGGAAAGCUUCAUGAGACGGCUCACCCUCCCACGACUACCAUCUACUCGAAGAGACCCUUGGAGCUCCUUCACAUGGACCUCUUUGGGCCCCCAUCCUUUGAUAGUCUUGGGGGUAGAAAGUAUUGCUUGGUGAUAGUGGAUGAUUAUUCAAGAUACACUUGGGUAUACUUCUUCAAGAGGAAGAGUGAGACCCAACAAACCGUCAUCGACUUUGCAAAUGAAGCUCAACGUCAACACAAUGCAAAGAUCUUGACAAUAAGAAGUGACAACGGCACCGAGUUCAAGAACUACACCUUGGAUGAGUUUCUUAGUGAUGAAGGGAUCAAGCAUCAAUAUUCUGCACCAUAUACCCCUCAACAAAAUGGUGUUGCAGAGAGAAAGAACCGGACGUUGAUGGAUGCGGCAAGGACCAUGAUGGCAGAGUUCAAGUCUCCUUACAACUUCUGGGCCGAAGCCAUCAACACAGCUUGUCAUGCAUCCAAUCGGCUCUAUCUCCGCAAAGGCUUGAACAAGACUCCGUAUGAGAUACUCACCGGGAACAAGCCCAAUCUCAAGUACUUCCGGGUGUUCGAGUGUAAGUGUUUCAUUCUCAAGAAAGGUGUUCAUUUGUCUAAAUUUGAAGCUAGAGCUCAUGAGGGCAUAUUUGUUGGUUAUGCUACAAACUCUCAUGCUUACCGUGUUCUCAACAAGUCCAACGGACUCAUUGAGGAGACGUGUAACAUAGAGUUUGAUGAAAAUAACGGCUCCCAAGUGGAGCAAAGUGGUACUUGUGAUGUAGGUGAUGAAAUUCCUCCCCAAGCCAUAAGAAGAAUGGGUAUUGGUCUUAUCCUACCCAUUGAGGAACCCCUUGUGGCCGAAGGAGAAGGACAAUGCUCCACUCAAGUGGAGCCAUCACCUCCCCAAGACCCACACGCUUCCGAAGAACAAAGUGAAGGCCCUCACCUUCAUGAACAAGACCAAGGGCAAGAUCAACCUCAAGAUGGAGGUGAACCUCCAAAUGAUGCCCAAGGUCAAGUUCUCCCCCUCGAGCAAGUUCAAGAUCAUGAGCAAGCUCGAGGCGACGCUCAAGAUGAUCAAGUUAACCUUCCUACUUCCACACCUGAGGAAGAAUUAGAGCGUCGUGCCGCGAAGAUUGCUUCCAAACUCACCACCCAAGGCCAUCUCAUGGAAAACGUGGUUGGAAGUCUAAGAAAGGGGGUAAGCACUCGUAGACAAUUAGCUAACUAUUGUGAACAUCAUGCAUUUGUCUCUUGUGUUGAACCCCAAAAGGUCUAUGAGGCGCUCAAAGACUCGGAUUGGCUCAAUGCCAUGCAUGAAGAACUAAACAACUUCGAGUACAACAAGGUGUGGAGAUUGGUGCCAAGACCUUCGGGAAACCACAACGUCAUUUAAACAAAGUGGAUCUUCAAGAACAAGCAAGAUGCUCAUGGGAACAUCAUUCGCAACAAGGCAAGAUUGGUAGCACAAGGCUACUCCCAAGUCGAGGGCAUCGACUACGGUGAAACCUUUGCUCCCGUUGCUCGUCUUGAAUCCAUUCUUUUGUUGAUUGCUUAUGCUUCCCAUCACAACUUUAAGUUGCAACAAAUGGAUGUGAAAAGUGCUUUUCUUAAUGAGUUGGUUUAUGUCAAGCAACCCCCCGGGUUCGAGGACCCCUACUUCCCAGAUCACGUGUAUCAACUCGAUAAGGCACUCUAUGGCCUUAAACAAGCCCCACGUGCGUGGUAUGACCACCUUACCGAGUUGCUACAAGAUCGUGGAUUUGAAGUAGGACAAAUCGAUCCCACUCUUUUUACUAAGAAGGUCAAAGGGGAGUUGUUUGUAUGCCAACUAUAUGUUGAUGAUAUUAUCUUUGGUUCUCCUAACAAAGCUUUCAAUGAGGAAUUUGCCGCUCUCAUGACCUCCAAGUUCAAGAUGUCUUCGAUGGGAGAGUUGAAGUUCUUCCUUGGUUUUGACAUCAAACAACGAAGAGAAGGAACCUUCCUCAACCAAGCCAAAUACACUCAAGACAUGCUUAAAAGAUUCAAGCUAAGUGAUGUCAAGCCGGCUUCUACACCAAUGCCUACCAAGUGCCAACUUGACAUCGAUCCCAAUGGUAAAGCGGUGGAUCAAAAGGUAUAUCGCUCCAUGAUUGGCUCCUUGCUUUACCUUUGUGCAUCUAGACCGGAUAUCAUGUUGAGUGUGGGGAUGUGUGCACGGUUUCAAGGCGCACCAAAGGAAAGUCACUAUGUGGCGGUCAAGAGAAUCUUUCGAUAUUUGGCUCAUACCCCAAACUUUGGCUUAUGGUACCCAAGAGGAGCAAACUUCAAGCUUGAAGGUUUCACGGAUUCCGAUUGGGCGGGGGACAAGGUGGAUAGGAAGUCCACUUUCGGAGGGUGCCAAUUUCUUGGUUGCUCUUUGGUAAGUUGGUCUUCCAAGAAGCAAAGUUGUGUGUCCCUCUCGUCCACCGAAGCGGAGUAUGUGGCAGCCGAUAGUUGUUGUGCUCAACUACUAUGGAUGAGGCAAACUUUAAAGGAGUACGGUGUCAUUUGUGACAAAGUGCCUCUUUGGUGUGAUAAUGAAAGUGCCAUCAAGAUUUCUGUCAACCCGGUUCAACACUUCAAGACGAAGCACAUUGAGAUUUGGUAUCACUUCAUCCGAGAUCACAUUAGGCGAGGGGAGAUCGAGCUCAAGUAUGUCAACACUCAUGAUAACCUUGCAGAUAUUUUCAUGAAGCCCUUGGAUGAAGCAAGAUUUCGCGAGUUAAGGCAUGAGCUAAAUAUCAUUGAUUUGAGCAAUGUGACUUGAACCCGUACACCCCCCCACCACACUCAACGUGUUGUCUAGUUUAGGUGUAGGCAUGGACAUAGGGGGAGUGUUGUUCUCUCAAUGAACUCUCCCUCCCCCCAUUAUGCAUAAAUCGAUCACCUCUUUCACAUUAGCCAUUUUUAAUGGUGCUUGUGCUUCAAAGACGAGUUUUGGUCAUGGGCCCAAGGAUAAUUCUUCGCGGUGCCAUACUAUCCAACUCAAACAUAGGUGGCUUCGGCCACCGCCCUCUCUCCUCGAGAGGCUUUGUCGCUUGGUGGUUUCUUGUUGUCUUCUUGCCUCUGGUUUGUGCAUGUUCUUGUGUUUCUUGUGUGUGAAAAGUUUCCGUGCAAAGGCUUCUUCUUUUUCGUGUUGAAACUUGCGGUGACUUGAGCUCACGGUACUACCGCGGUCGGCCACGGUUCUACCGCUGCCUGCCAUGGUACUACCGCUUGUGGGAGCACGGUACUACUGUCACCACGCGGUAGUAAUUUUUUACUGCCGCCUGGUUGAGCGGUACUACCACCUCGGCGCGGUACUUCCGCCUGAGCGGUACUACCGCGAUGACACGCGGUACUACCGCGUCGGUUCGAGCGCGUGGGGAUAAGGACGGGCAGGGGGAGUUUUAACUCCCCAUACCUUCGCUGUCCUCUCUCUCCACGUCGCCUCCUUCUCUCCCUUGCUCAAGACCGGAGCCGGCGUUCGUCGCCGGAUCUCCUCCACCGGCUGCCCUCCCGUGAUUCCGACCGGUGGGAUCGUUCCCCACCACGUACUCUUGCUAUGGACCAAGGUUUUUCCCCAACUCCCUCUCCGUGUUGUUUGUGUUUAGUGUUUCUAGGUUUUGGGGGAGACUUGUGUGUUCUUGAGAUUCCUAGGCUUAAUCUCUGCAAGAGUAGGAUGAAGGAGUGUGGUAUUGCAUAGGAUUUAUACUUGUAUUGUUGUCUUGCGCUAGAUCGGAUCACGGUAGCACCGCCAUUGUUUCGCGGUUCUUUUUCAGAUUCAAACCGCCUGUUGGAUCUGACGCGACGCGGUACUACUGCCCGUCUGGCGCGUUACUACCGCUUGCACGGUACUACCGCCCUUCGGGAGCGGUACUACCGCGCUUUGUGCGGUACUAAAAGUUUACUUCCGCUCCAACCACGGUACUACCAUGACCUCGCACGGUACUACCGCGUUUGGAGCAGUACUAAUCUUUUAGUACCGCAUGCAAUGGCAGUUUUACCGUGGCUCACAUCUAUCGCAUGCCAACUAUCUCGUAUGCCUUCUAUGUGUUUCUUGUGCUUGUUCGUGGCCUUUGCAUUGAUCCUUUCACGUCUUUGGUGUUUUGCGUGUGUGUCUCAAGUGGUGGCUCUCGCCGGUCCAACCCCAGUCGUGACACUGGUUCCAAACGUUUGCGCAACCCAGGAGAAGUGCCAGAAGGUUCGUCUGCCUCCAAGCGUAAUGUCAAGCACUCAGCUAGCAAGCACAAGGAGCCUGCUAAGGGCAUGGAUGAGAUAGGCCAAGCUGAUUAUGUCCGUCUCAGGCAGCUUCACCCUUAUGUGCACCCGCGUGCCACCUUCAGAGGCUGUGAGCUAUUCUGGAACAAGCAACAGGUCAACAUCUAUCUGGAUGUCAUCAAGAACUAGCAGAACACCUAUGUGGAGGUGAAGUGGAUUGAUAUGCAUCACAUGAGGAAGGACAAGUUUCAUGACUACUUUGGAGAGUCUCUGGACUUGGUGGAGUAGUUUGGCAUUGAGCAUGUGAUUACCUUCCACCUCGACUAUGACCCUGAGCUUAUCUGUCAGUUCUUUGCCUCAGUCUAUUUUCACUCCGAGGAGGAACGGAGGAUGACCUGGAUGACCAACGGUCGUAAGCUAUCUGCUACCUGGAAGGAGUUCAUGGAUCUCCUCCAGGUUCCUGAUGAUGGACUCGACUCUCUAGUGGGUGUUCGCCCCUAUGCCAAUGCUGAUUCUGCCAGCAAGGACAGACUUACCCCUUUCAUGGUUGAGAAGGCACUCGGCAAUGGCAAGACAACUUUGGUGCUCAACCCUUUCCUGGAUAUCAUGUAUCGCAUCUUCCGCAACUCCUUGUUCCCUCGCAUCGGUGAUAAAGACAAGGUUCAUGCCUAUAUGGUGGACAUGAUGCUCAUCUGUGAGGAUGCUCGUUCGUCUCAGUCACAGCCACUUGAUGUCUCACACAUCAUGUGGUGUGAGCUCCGGUUUGCAGUGUUCAACCGCAAGGUGCCUAUCUAUGGGCCCUAUCUGUUUUUGCUGAUUUCAAAGACUUGGGAGAAGAUGUUUCCUGCUGAUGAGUUUCUUGCUCCUGACUGGGUUCGCCAUGAGCCCAUUUGCCUGCGUAUCAAACCCAACUGGGCCAACACCACUACUCGCACCGAGGCGACUGCUGCUAGGACUGCUGUUGAUGAGGAGGAUGCUGGCGCCGAGGAUGCUGCUGAGGGCCAUGCUGCUAGACCUUCCCAGAGUGCCUCUAUGCCAUAAUGGGCCAAGAAGCUGAAGGACAAGAUGAAGACUCUCUUCUGCAUGCAAGCCAAGGGGCAGUACAGGACUCACGUGGUGUCCAAGGAGAGUCGUUGCCGGGACAACAAGAUCUUGCAGCUCUAUGGUGAGGCAGUGUCUGGCGGGUCUGAGGAGCACAUCACUCCAGAAGCCGAGUGGAUGGAGAAGCAGGGCUAUAGGUGGACUGAGUCUGAGGAGGAUGUCGAGGAGACCAUCCCUGCUGCCGAGGCGUCCGAUGGAGAGGAUUGGGACGAGUACUCGGCUUGAGCCACCUCUUGUGUGUAGGUGUCCUCUCUGCCUUUUUGGCGUCUCGAUGCCAAAGGGGGAGAGAGUGUAGGGAUUUGCGAGUGUGUCGUGUGUUUGCGUGUGUUUGCUUCUUUCUCGUUUGUGUCGUGUGUUUGCUACUUUCUCGGUUGAACCUCGGUAGCUACUUCGUAUGGUGUAAGACAUAUGCACUCUAUCUAUCCUAGCGAGCUUGUGUUAUAUUGUGCUAUAUUUAUGCUAUGCUAUGCUUAUUAUCAUGUCUUAGUCUCUAAAAUAUAGGGGGAGUGUUGAUCCUAGUCUGUGUGCUAUGCAGUCCAAAGCAUUCAUCUAAAGUGCACACAUCUAGGGGGAGCCCGUCUAUAUUUUAGAGAGGUGGGGUUUGCCCCUGCUCUAAAUUAUCUUAUCCAUAUGCAAAUCCUGUGUUGUCAUCAAUCCACCAAAAAGGGGGAUAUUGUAAGGGCAUAUUUUUCCCUCAGGUGUUUUGGUGAUUGAUGACAAUGCAUUUGCGGACUAAUCGUGUGCCUUGAGUUUCUCAGGUUAUUCAUAUCUAGGCACGAGACGAUUCGGUGCCCCUCGGAGACUAUUGAAGUCGGCGUCGUUCUACGUUUCUCUUUGGUGGACUUGAGUCGUAGGAGAGCCGUACUAUUAAGAGGGGGUCCGCGUCGGAAAGGUUUGGGUGGAAUCAACACGUACACUUGUUCCUCCUUUCCCUGCAUUUUGGAGCUUCCCUUUGUUAUCUUGGUUGUGCGGAAAUCUGACGACUACUGCUGUGUUUGCGGUAGUACCGCAAGUACUCGCGGUAGUACCGCUGGGCGUCACGGUAGUACCGCUCAUCUGGAGCGGUAGUACCGCGGCUCCUUGGCCUUGUGCCGCUCCGGUGCGGUAGUAGGGGCGGAUGUAAUUUUUUACAUCCGCGCCCUCCACGGUAGUACCGCUCGUCCAGCGCGGUAGUACCGCGGAGGCCCACGGUAGUACCGCUCCCUAGGAGUCGUAGUACCGUGGCCCUCCUACCUAGUACCGUAGUGUCGCGGUAGUAGGCGCGGAUGUAAUUUUUUACAUCCGUGCCCGCACGGUAGUACCGCGCCUCGCGGGCGGUAGUACCGCGUCGGAUUUUUGUACCUCCUCCGGCUCAGCGGAAGUAGGCACGGAUGUAAUUUAUUUCAUCUGCGCCCUUCCCAGGCCGUGACUUUCCUGCCUUGCGGUAGUACCGCAGGUGGGUGCGGUAGUACCGCGCAAGCGGUAGUACUGCCCCCUUAUCAGGCUAGUUCCGGCCUGUGUUGCUGUUGCGGUAGUACUGUGGUUAGCCACGGUAGUACCGCGCAGCCGCGUGGUAGUACCGUGCCCCUGGAGCGGUAGUAUCGUGUGUCGCGGGCUGAACAUGUGGAUAACGGUUGGAUUUUGUCCACGACUAUAUAAGGGGCGUCUUCUACCUCUAGUUGACUACCUCUUCCAUCUCCAAGCUCCAUUGUUGCUCCAAGCUCCAUUUUCCACUCGAUCUCUCUCCCUAGCCAAUCAAACUUGUUGAUUUGCUCGGGAUUGGGUGACAAGUGCCCGAUCUACACUUCCACCACAGGAUAUUUGAUUCCCCCCCACUUAUCCCUUGCGGAUCUUGUUACUCUUGGGUGUUGAGCACCCUAGACGGUUGAGGUCACCUCGAAGCCAUACUCCAUUGUGGUGAAGCUUCGCGGGAUUAUUGGGAGCCUCCAAGUGUUGUGGAGAUAGCCCCAAUCUUGUUUGUAAAGGUCCGGUUGCCGCCUUCAAGGGCUCCAAUAGUGGAAUCAUGGAAUCUCGCAUUGUAUGAGGGCGUGAGGAGAUUACGGUGGCCCUAGUGGCUUCUUGGGGAGCAUUGUGCCUCCACACCGCUCUAACGGAGACGUACUUCCCCUUAAAAGGAAGGAACUUCGGUAACACAUCCUCGUCUCCACCGGCUCCACUCUUGGUUAUCUUAUCCCUUUACUUUUGCAAGCUUACUUGUGCUAUAUCCAUUGCUUGCUUGGGUGCUCAUUGUCUUUGCAUCAUAUAGGUUGUCCGCGUAGUUGCACAUCUAGACAACCUAUUUCAUUGCAAGGUUUAAAUUGUUAAAGAAAAGUCAAAAAUUGUUAGUUGCCUAUUCACCCCCCCUCUAGUCAACCAUAUCGAACCUUUCAAGGGUCCUGAUUGGUUUUUGGUGGCUACAGAGGCUUGCGGCGGUGGAACUCCCGAUCUAUCUUCUGUUUUGGAAGUUUUAGGGUACAAGAGUAUAUAUGGGUGCAGGGGGUACGUCGGAGGAGCUACGGGGGCCCCACGAGGCAGGGGGCACGCCCAGGCGGGGCGCCUCCCACCCUCGUGGGCAGCCCGUAUCUCCCCUGAUGUGCACUCCAAGUUCCCUAGGUUGCUUUCCUUCCAAAAAUAACUUCUCCAGUUGAUUUCGUUCCGUUUUGACUCCGUCUGAUAUUCCUUUUCCUCGAAACACUGAAAUAGGCAUAAAACAACAAAUCUGGGCUGGGCCUCCGGUUAAUAGGUUAGUCCCAAAAAUAAUAUAAAAGUGGAUAAUAAAGCCCAAUAUUGCCUAAAUAGUAGAUAAAGUAGCAUGGAGCAAUAAAAAAUUAUAGAUACGUUGGAGACGUAUCAUGCAUCCCGACCACGUGUGCCUGCUUUCGCGGUCCUUGUACGGACUCAAGCAGGCUCCGCGCGCUUGGUACCAGCGCAUCGCGGCGUUUUUCCACCAGCUUGGGUUCCGCUCUACCCGUUCGUACGCCUCGCUCUUCAUCUAUCAUCAAGGCUCCGACACGGCCUACUUGCUGCUCUAUGUCGACGACAUCAUCCUGACGGCAUGUACGGCUGGUCUCCUCAGUCAGCUCACGGCUCGUCUUUGCGCUGAGUUCGCCAUCAAGGACUUGGGUCCUUUGCACUACUUCCUCGGUGUCGAGGUGGUGCGCCGUCCCGAUGGCUUCUUCCUUCAUCAGCGGAAGUACGCUCAUGAGCUCCUAGAGCGCGCUGGCAUGCUUAACUGCAAGCUGGCCGCUACGCCUGUUGAUACGAAGACCAAGCUUUCUGCCACGGAUGGCUCUCCUGCUUCGGAUGCUGCUUUCUAUCGGUCUAUCGUUGGUGCUCUUCAGUACCUCACUCUGACUCGACCAGAGAUCCAGUAUGCCGUGCAACAGGUGUGUCUUCAUAUACAUGCUCCUCGAGACGUUCACUGGGCUGCGGUCAAGUGGAUUCUCCGCUAUGUCUGUGGCACUAAGGAUCUUGGCAUCACCCUUCAUGCCUCUGCCGACACCGCCCUCACCGCCUACUCCGAUGCAGAUUGGGCGGGCUGCCCUGACACUCGUCGCUCCACCUCGGGCUAUUGUGUCUACCUCGGACCCUCACUUAUCUCGUGGUCGUCCAAGCGGCAGCCUACGGUCUCUCGUUCCAGUGCUGAGGCUGAGUAUCGUGUGGUAGCCAAUGCCAUCGCCGAGUGUUCGUGGCUUCGCCAGCUGCUUCAUGAGCUUUCUUGCCCUGUUGACCGUGCCACGGUGGUCUACUGCGACAACAUCUCGGCGGUCUACCUCUCCGCUAACCCGGUGCAUCAUCGACGGACCAAGCAUAUUGAUUUGGAUAUUCAUUUUGUUCGGGAACAGGUGGCCCUUGGCCAUAUUCGUAUUUUACACGUCCCUACUUCCCAACAAUUUGUAGAUAUCAUGACCAAGGGCUUGCUGCUACCUCUUGAGCACUGCGUUGGAUUUCCCCGAAGAGGAGAGGAUGAUGCAGUAAAGUAGCGUAAGUAUUUCCCUCAGUUUUUGAGAACCAAGGUAUCAAUCCAGUAGGAGAUCACGCACGAGUCCCUCGUACCUACACAAAACGAUAGCUACUCGCAACCAACGCGAUUAGGGGUUGUCAAUCCCUUCAUGGUCACUUACGAGGGUGAGAUCUGAUAGAGAUGAUAAAUAAUAUUUUUGGUUUUUUUGAUAUAGAGAUGCAAAGUAAAAGGUAAAAGGCAAAGUAAAAACAAAGAAAGUAAUAAAGUAAUGGAGAUUGAUAUGACGAGAAUAGACCCGGGGGCCAUAGGUUUCACUAGUGGCUUCUCUCAAGAGCAUAAGUAUUCUACGGUGGGUGAACAAAUUAAUGUUGAGCAAUUGAUAGAAAAGCGAAUAAUUAUGAGAUUAUCUAGGUAUGAUCAUGUAUAUAGGCAUCACGUCCAAGACAAGUAGAUCGAACGAUUCUGCAUCUACUACUAUUACUCCACUCAUCGACCGCUAUCCAGCAUGCAUCUAGAGUAUUAAGUUAAAAAUAGAGUAACGCCUUAAGCAAGAUGACAUGAUGUAGAGGAUAAAUUCAUGCAAUAUGAUAAAAACCUCAUCUUGUUGUCCUCGAUGGCAACAAUACAAUACGUGCCUUGCAACCCUUGCUGUCACUGGGUAAGGACACCGCAAGAUUGAACCCAAAGCUAAACACUUCUCCCAUUGCAAGAACUACCAAUCUAGUUGGCCAAACCAAACGGAUAAUUCGAAGAGACUUGUAAAGAUAACUCAAUCAUACAUAAAAGAAUUCAAAGAAUAAUCAAAUAUUAUUCAUAGAUAAGCUGGAUCAUAAACCCACAAUUCAUCGGUCUCAACAAACACACCGAAAAAGAAGAUUACAUCGAAUAGAUCUCCACAAGAGAGGGGGAGAACAUUGUAUUGAGAUCCAAAAAGAGAGAAGAAGCCAUCUAGCUACUAGCUAUGGACCCGAAGGUCUGAAGUAAACUACUCACACUUCAUCGGAGAGGCUAUGGUGUUGAUGUAGAAGCCCUCCGUGGUAGAUGCCCUCUCCGGUGGAGCUCCGAAACAGGCCCCAAGAUGGGAUCUCACGGAUACAGAAGGUUGCGGCGGUGGAAGUAGGUUUUUGGCUCUGUUUCUGAUCUAACGGGGGUACGUAGGUAUAUAUAGGAGGAAUGAGUACAUCGGUGGAGCAACAGGGGGCCCAUGAGGUAGGGGGGCGCGCCNNNNNNNNNNNNNNNNNNNNNNNNNNNNNNNNNNNNNNNNNNNNNNNNNNNNNNNNNNNNNNNNNNNNNNNNNNNNNNNNNNNNNNNNNNNNNNNNNNNNNNNNNNNNNNNNNNNNNNNNNNNNNNNNNNNNNNNNNNNNNNNNNNNNNNNNNNNNNNNNNNNNNNNNNNNNNNNNNNNNNNNNNNNNNNNNNNNNNNNNNNNNNNNNNNNNNNNNNNNNNNNNNNNNNNNNNNNNNNNNNNNNNNNNNNNNNNNCCUCCACCCUCGUGACCGCCUCUGGCACUUCUUGGAGUAGGGUCCAAGUCUCCUGGAUCAGGUUCGGUGAAAAUCACGUUCCCGAAGGUUUUAUUCCGUUUGGACUCCGUUUGAUAUUCUGUUUCUUCGAAAUACUGAAAUAGGCAAAAAUAACAGCAAUUCUGGGCUGGGCAUCCGGUUAAUAACUUAGUCCCAAUAAUAAUAUAAAAGUGGAAAAUAAAGCCCAAUAUAGUCCAAAACAAUAGAUAAAGUAGCAUGGAGCAAUCAAAAAUUAUAGAUACGUUGGAGACGUAUCACUUGCCUACGGCAUCAUUUGAGGAGUUCCGGUCCAGUCUUUGCGUCAGCCGCGGUGCCGCUUUGACUGCGGGGGUGUUGAGUAUAUGUGUUAUGUGCAUAUUGUGUAUUUGGGCCACCUCCUAGUUCUUUGUAUAGUUGAGGUCCGUGGCCCACCUUUGUACAUCAUAUAUACGUGCCUAUGCACGAAGAGCAAUACAUCGAGCAAUUCCCAAAACACACACUGGCUACUUGUACACUUUGACCUUGCGAUGAAUCAUUCGCCUCUUGAACCUUGCGUUGCCAAUCAAAUCAAGUAAUCAACAUUUUUUUUGAAAAGAGGGGACUCCCCAGUCUCUGCAUCAGAACGAUGCAUACAGCCACAUUUAUAGAUAAAUAAAAGUGUUCAACAAGGUUUUAUAGUCUGAAAACAAAAUAACGGCAAGCUCACAAAGAGCCACAACGCCAAAAACAAAAGGACCAAAAGCCACAACCGGCUGGCAUAACAAGGAUAGGUAAACUAAUUGCCUAUCCUAUUACAUGACCGCCAUCCAAACCGGUUGAAGAUAUCCCGUGCUACCAUCUCCCACCGGACAGACCCAAUAACCAAACGCUCCCUGGCCUCCGUCGGAGUGAGUAACGACCACAUACGGAUCAGCGCAGUAGCUCAGAAUAAAACCUACAAAAAAUAAAUAUUUGUUGUUCUGUUAAAGUCCAAAUCAUUUCUGCAAUUCCAAAUUGCCCACAACAAAGCACAUACUCCUACACGAAUGUGUCUAGCUAUUUCGGACUCUAUCCCAACAAGCUACAUUCCAAAUAACGUACUGACCGAAUUCAGAGGAGUAAUGUUAAAGGCAAUAUGCACCGUGGGCCACAAAACCCUUGCCAACGGGCUGUCAAAGAAGAGGUGCUUGAUAGAUUCGUCCCGAUCACAAAAACUACACCUAGUAGAUCCUGUCCAGUUGCGCUUAACCAAAUUAUCCUUUGUUAAAAUGACUUGUUUAUGUACAAAUCACAUAAACACUUUAAUUUUCAAAGGAACUUCGACUUUUCAAACCUCUUUGGAAUUAGGAAUAACACUAGAGUUAAUGACAUCGAUAUACAUCGACUUAGGCCCUGUUUGGUUCAUAAGUCCUAGGACUUUUUUUAGUCCCAACUUAUAAGUCCCAAGUCCCUAAAAAUUCCAUACAUGUUUGGUUCCUGGGACUUAACAUGGACUAAAAGACCAUAUUACAACUAUAAGUCCCUACAAGACUCUCCUUAAGAGUCUUAUUUCAUAAGUCCUAAAUGCCCACUUUAAGUCCUUAUAAGUCCCACCUAUUUGGUUUAGAUGAGACUUAUAUGAACUUUUUUAAAUCCCUAAACCAAUAAUUCCUUGAAAACAAACACCCUUGUGAACUCUCCGGACCUAGUAAGCUUUCAACACAAUAUGUACCUCACAUUCACGUACUACGUCGUAGUAGCAUCCGGCGACGGGGACUGAUCAUGAUGAGUAGUCGCCUGCCGUAGCAGGAGAUGCGCGUUGACAAAGAUCAGAAGCACGCAGUACGAGUCGACCACGUCCUGCAUGUCGCGGAGCUGGCUCGCCAUGCUCCUGCCGCUCCGGACGCGGUGCCAGAGCGUGCUCCGGUGGUAGGAGUCGACGAGGCCGGCCGCGUCGACGAGCGCCUGCACCACGGGGCCUCCCAGCCAGUGGCGGACCCAGGAAAAAAUUGGAGGGUGUGCACACUUCAGAAAAAAUCUGCCUAAUCGAAGUGUCGUAUCAUAUAUGGCGAAAGAAUAACACAAAUAGCUCAAUCAAGUCUCACAAUAUUACAUUUCCGAAAGUCAUUUCAAUUUUGCAAAAUACUGAGGACCAUGUUUAUUUUGGUAGUCAUACUAAAUUGGUUGUAUGCAUACCUAGUUGGUGUAGAAGCCGAGAAGUGAAAAUCUCUUCUAUUUUAAGAUAGCAGAACACACACAUGCACAACUCUCCCCCAAAAAAUGAAUCGCUCUCCUCUGACGCACCCGCGGGUGACAUGGGAGGCCUCCCGCCGCCGUUGUCCCCCGCCCCCCCCCUCAUCAUUGCACAGGCGCGCCGGCGGACGAAGCCUGCCUGGCGCAGGCUACAUAUGACACAGACCGGCGGCUGGUACUGUCCUUGGGGUGGUGGUGGCCUCUGAGAUGGAUAGGUGGAAGACGGCAGCGGUAGCCUCUAAGAGUGCGUUGGAUUGAUGUGUGCCCCGGACCUGUCAUUGUGGCUUGGUUGGGGCCUCCGGCUUUAAAUGUUAGGCUUUGGUGCGAAAUUCAUUUGGCAUUCGGCUCAAAUUUUCGGCACUUCUUUAUCAAGUGGAUAGAAGUAGCGAUAGAUGUUGCCGAGAUUGUGACCUUAGACUUACUAUCACUAGUAGAAAAGGGGGCAAUGGUCCAGGCAGGGCCGGCCCAUUAGUCCAGAACCGGGACCAAUGGGAGCAUUUGACCCGGUUCGUGAGCCCCGGAGGCCGGCCGGGCCACGUGGGCCAUUGGUCCCGGUUCGUCUGGGCCUUUUGGUCCCGGUUGGUGGGACGAACCGGGACUAAAAGGCCUCGCUCCUAGCCCACCACCAUUGGUCCCGGUUGGUGGCCUGAACCGGGACCAAAUGCUACCCUUUAGUCCCGGUUCGAGCCACGAACCGGGACUAAAGGGUUGGUCCUCGUUGCGGUCAGAGUUUAGUCCCAUCUCGCCAACCGAAGGGCACUCACAUCGGUUUAUAAGCCCCUCCCUCUCUGCCUUGUUGAGCUCCUCUCAAAAUGAAAAUAGAGACAGCGAAGCGCAAAAAUUGGAGACAGGAUGAUCUCCAUUCUUCAUAAUGGAGAGUCAGGGUCUAUAUUAUUUUAUGCUAUUUUACCUUAAGGGUGUUUAGGUCCUACCUGAUACUGAUGAUCAUGUGCUAAGAACAAUUAUAUGUAGGGUUGGGUUCGAUGACUAUGAGGAUGAUGAUCGUAUGACUUAUUAUUAAUAACGAGUAAAAGUUGUAUGAUGCAUAUGAUGCAUGAUUAGUAGGACUUGUUAUUAUAUAUGAUGAUGUAUGAUGCGAAUAUGCAGCGGGUGAAAUGAACAUAGCAGCAGUGGUAAACCAAGGACGAAGAUAUAAGAGAGGACACUUCUCUCUAUUGGCUAGCUAAUAACAACCUAAAAAUAACCCCCCAAACCCCUAAAGCAGCCACUUUUUUUUAAAAAAAAAACAUCUCCUUUUGGUCACGAUUGGUGCCACCAACCGGGACCAAAGGCCCCCCCUGCCUGGGCUCGGUGCACCAGCCACGUGGAGGCACAUCUGUCCCGGUUCGUGUUUGAACCGGGACUAGGGGGGGUAUUAGUAACGACCCAUAACUAAAGGCCCUUACGAACCGGGACAGAUGCCCCUUUUUCUACUAGUGUAUGUAUUAUUUUAUAUGGUCCUUGUGAAUAAUUAAUAAAGUGGUUGCCUGUAUCACCCAGAUGCGAGGCCGGGGGUCAUCUUCCUUUUAUAAAAAAAAGGUAGGGCCACGUGGUAGAUUGAAGUUGUCUCACAAAAAUAACGUGGUAGAUUGAAGAGUCCUAUUUUUUCCCGUUUGCAAUCUACGCGAGUCGCCGCUAGAGUUUCCGUCGAGUUGACCGAUGGAAUUGAUCUAGCUAGCUACUACCGAGCUCAUGUAGUACUGCUAGUAGAAAAAUCAGUCAAGAUGGUUUGUUAGGUUUGCAUGUACGUGUACAGCUUGAGGUGAAUUAGUUCAGGACUACAAAUAAAACCAACAAAAUCAGCAAAAGAUGACAUAUAGUGAAAAAAAUCUGCAAAAUGCUGGGUGUGCCACGGCACACCCGGCACACCCUCUAGGUCCGCCAAUGCUCCCAGCUCCGAGCAGAGCAGCGCGGCGCCGCAGCCCGUCGGCCACUUGAGCAGCGCGUGGAGCCUGCGGCUGCACCGCUGGAGCUUGGCGCACUCCCGCCUGCUCUGCGGGAUGCGCAUGAGGCUCGCGCCCGCGGCGACGAGCAUCACGGCGUGCAGGCCGGACAUCUGCGCCAGGUUGGCCGCCUUCGCCAGGACGUCCCACAGCGCCGCCACCAUCCCCAUCGUGCUUCCUCUUCUUGUCAAUCGAUCACCCUGUUUUUCGUCCUGUGAGAGUGGCGCUAAUUUAUAGUAACUUUCUUCAGGUUGCCGCGCGCGAUGGUGUGGAUUGUUGUUUCCUUGAGUUGCCGCUGACGAGUGACCGGACUGACAAACGCGGUUAGAGGGUUAUUGAUUAGGACAUUACACUUUAGAGAUUAAUUUGAUUAAAGAAAUAUGCGAACUUUUUUGUACGAAAAGGGAAUUGGGAGUGUGCGAGGGCCCGAUGCGAUGGAAUAAGUCAUGACAUGCACAGGUGGCGCCCGGCGUGUGGGCGCCAUGUCGAGUCCGGCACGGUGGCGACCGGCGUGAGCGCGCCCAGGUCGAGUCCGUGGCGGACUUGUGUGCGUGUCCGAGUGAGUUGCAGAAAACGUCGACAUUGAAGGUUAGAGUUGUGGAAACCACACUUCUACGGUCUUGAGCACGAUUAUAACAGGCGGGUCCCGCUGGACAGGAUGACAUGGGACAACAUAUUGAAUAGCAAAAAGAUAGAAUCACAGAGACUAAAGUGUAAAAAAGCCUAAAAGGAAAAGGUCAUUUUCUUGAAGAAAAAAAGACAAUGAAAGAGGAUAAGGUUAGGAGCACCAGCGAGCUCCGCAUCCCCGUGACUCCGCCUUAGAAUUAGCCCUCCAUGGGACCAGCAGGCAGCAGCGAGCUCCGGCCGCCGGGCCAUGAGCAGCAGCUCCAUCGCUUGCCGCUGCACCUCGUUGCCGCGCAGACUGGCAACUCUCGGCGGUGAGCUCCGCCACCACCGGCGCGCUCGAGCUCGCAGGCAUGCGGGCCGAGGCCGCCGGGCCACGAGCAGCACCUCCACUGUACCUCCACGAGACUGGGUUCGGCUCGGGUUCGAUGGCUGUUAUUUUGGUCCAAACUGACGAUAAACAAGGACCUGGGGGCGUGACUGGGCUAUUUUUUCGCCGUCGGCGCUAAAAAAGACACCCUUGGGGCCAGUUGGGGGGAGGCGAGUGGAGAUGCUAUGAGGCUCGUCAACCAACUUUGUAUUUUGUUAUUCUAUGGAAGCCACGGCCUGGGUGAGUAGGGGUGCACAAACGGCCCGGGCAGGCUGAAUGUAGAACUGUGCUCCUUUGGAUUUUAUUAUGAUGUGCACAGCGGAAGCGAGAUUUUAGACUCUGAACCUCUUGGUUGCAAGUUUAUGCACCUAAUCAAUUUAUCUAUGAAUUUAAAAAUGAAUCGGAAGUGGAUUGCAAUUUAAUUACGCCAGCCGUGUCUUGAACUCAAGACCUCUUGGCUCCGAUACCAUAUAGAUCUGCACGCACCGGUCAGUUUACCCAAAAGCUCAAGCUAUGAAAGAGGGCCAGACAUUAUACUCCAACACUGACAUAGAUGAAGGAAGAGAUGGCUGAAUGUGAGAGACUGAGAGGCAGAGGGUUAUCUAGAAAACGAGGAGUGGAGUGCGGGGGUCUUUUUGCAAAACUGACAUACUUUGUCUUAAAUUGUUUGGAUGUAAAUCGAACAGUUGUAAAUGAAGGAUGGCAGGUACGUCAUCAUCAUCAACUCUGCUUUUUAUAGGAGUAGAGAUAUGGAUAACACAAAUGCAAAUUUUAAAAAUUGCACCGACAAGCUUUAAAACUUAAAUCAACAAGUUUCAACACUUACACGACAAGUAUAAAGCUUGAAGACCAUUUUGGGCCGUGUAUCUACAAUAUCUGAUGGACCAAGCUGGUUUUUUUCUAUUAUUUCACCACAACAGUUGAUUCUAUUAGCUGUCCCUAGCCAUCUUCUCUCACACCAUUGGUCGGCAGCUAUACUCUUGCAAGGGGCCGACGCCAUGCGGAUUGAUGGAACUCUUGGUUUCCAGAGCCCACUCAAAAUUUUAAAGGCUAUUUCUCCAACCAAUCCAGAUGCUAGAUCUUUAGGGAGCAACUAAUUAACGAGCGCUCCUUUGGGAGCCUCGCAACGAUAAGCGCCACUUGGCGCGCUCUCAGCCAUUUGUCACGUGUCGCGCUCUGGGCGCUCCCUCCGGAUUUUUUUUAUUUUUCCGCACGCGUUUUUCGGCUUUUUAAACGUUUUUUUUGGUUUUUUGACGUUUUGAUUUUUCACCGGUCUUCCCUAGCUUUUCGACCAAUUUUUUUUUGAAAAAAAUAUUUUUUUUGCGCAAAAAAAUGCAUUUUUUUCACGAGAGUCACGGUUUUGUUUUCGCGAGAGGCACGGUUGUGCUUUUGCAAGAGGCACUGCCGUGCCUCUUGAAACGAAUUUUUUUUUUCUGUUUUUUUUCUUUCGCGAGAGGCAUGGUUUUGCUUCCGUGAAAGGCACAGUUGUGUUUUCGCGAGAGGCACAGUUGUGCGCGAGAGGCACGGCCGUGCCUCCUCGGAAACAAAAAAAAACACG